AUUACUGAAGCGAUACCUUUGCUGGUCAUUACUUCUGCCACUGAUCCGACUAUGGAAACUGUCAAAGGAAAAGAAAACUGCUUAAGGUACAUAACCCAUAGUUCUUUCACAUUUUUGUUUGUUUAGGAUUAUAAUUAUGCUUUUCUUUUUCUUUUUGAAGAGGUAUAUGAUCAUUAUAUGGACUUGAGAGGAAUGGAGCUUGCUCGAUUCGCCCUGGAAGAGUUCAACAAGCAAAAGGUAUUGAACUGUGCAAUGUGAAAUUGAAAUAGUGAAAUUGGUUUUAUUUUCUUUUUAUGAAAUAGUUAAUUGAUAUGAAUUAUGACACAUUAUGUCACAUCCCGACCCUUAUAUUUUUACCUUAUUUACUAGCGUGAUUAUAAUAAGAAUUUUACCGUCUCGAUCAUUGAGUAAAUAGUUUAAUUGGUCCCUAGAGGGGUUUCGGGGACGAUUAUGUGCGGAGGAUAAUUCGUAUGGGGAUUAUACGGCGACGGUAAAAAUAGUAAAUUUUAGCUAGUAAACGGUAAUUUUUAUUCGGGUAUUAUUUUUUCGGGGUGUUGAAUUUUGGAAUUAUGGGUUAAAAGGGGUGUUGGGUCGGCUGGGCCGAGCCCAACCCAUUUCUUCUUCUUUCUCUUCUCCCUCCCUCCCGAUUUUUCUCUCUUCUCACCCGGUUUUCCCCUCUCUACACCCAGCAGAAUUCCGGCCGUCCUCCCGCCGCCGUCCGACCUCCGUUCGCCGCCGGACCGGUCCCGUUCGGUCGGUCUCCCUCCCAGCAUCAUUUCUAGACCGGUGAGAGGAGCCCUAGCGCCGCCGUGAGAGAGCGGUGCCGCCCGAAAGCAAGGGCUGCCCCGAGCUUCCCUUCGCCGGAACUUCCUCCUCCGGCCACCAAUCCGGGCAAGCUUGGUAUGGUUUUGUAGCCCUCCAACCCAGCAACCUUGCCCUAAAAGGACUCACUCCCUCUUGAGCUAGGUAAGGAGAAAUUUGAGGUGGAAGUUUUAUGGUGUUUUUGAUGUUUUUAGUCGAUUUCCCUAGUUAGGCUUGGAAUUGGUGUUUGUGCAAGUUAUGAAAGUUGUAGAGCUUGAUAAGAGGAAGAUGCUGUUAAAAUUUCAUAGGUUUUGGAGGUCGCCGGAAUUGACCUCCGGCCGCCGCCGGUUGGGAGAUUUUAAUGUUGUUAAAUUUGGAAUAUUAAGGGGAGUUUAUUGAAGUGAGUUAUGGAAUUUUUGGAUGAGUUUUGGAUAGGUUUAUGAAUUUCCGAAGUGUGGUAUUUUUGGCGGGUAAUUAAUGUAGAAUCCGGCCGUUGGAUUUAAGUCGUAUUUUGGAGAGGUUGUAUUUACGACUGUGGAGUAUGAUAUUUAAGUUCGGAUCGUCCGAUGUAAGAAUAUCGAAGUUAGGCAAUAAUGAGCGUAAUUAUGGCUCUCGGGUAAUUUUNNNNNNNNNNNNNNNNNNNNAAUAUUGGAUAUUGGUUGGGAAAUUAAUAAUUAUAUUUGGAACAGGACGUGAAGAGGCUCGAGCAGACGAGACCCAGAUUGACAUCAGGCUUAGGCCUAAUUCGUGAGUGGUACGUUUAUUUUAAAUAAAUGCAUGCUAUAGUUCAUGGUUGAACAAUUAAUAUUGCGGAAUAUUUUAACGUCAUUUUAAUUUGACGAUUUUUAUUUUCUCUUGGAGAGCUACCGAAAAUGGGAUUUUCGGUGAAUAUAAAUAUGUAUUUAUGAGAGAGUAUGUAUAUAAAUGCUAGCUAGCCAUAUGUGUCUGUCCACCUUAAUGGCGUAGCAUAUAGCCGCAUUAUGGUGUGACGUGAGCGUUGGACGUAAGCGUAGUAGCCCUAUAUGAGUUGUUUAAUUCAUAUAGGGGGGUAUGGACACAUAUUUAUACACCCGUCUGUCCACCUUGAUAGCGUAGUGUAGCACCGCAUUAAGGCGUGACGUGAGCGUUGGACGCGAGCGUAGUAGCCCUAUAUAGACCCAUGAAUUUAUAUAGGGAGUAUGGACGAGUAGUAAAUACAUACAUAUAUUAUAGAAUCUGAGAGGCUCGAUAUUUAUGGGAUAAAGGUUUUAUCGCUUGCGGCAUGCACUCGAUUUUCCUUAGAAUUAAUUGGGGAAACAUAAAUAUUUUAUUUAUUAAUUUAUUUUUUGUCCACUCACUCUAACGUUAUUAAAUGUUUUCCCCUGGGCCCUUCGUUUUAAAUUGCCCAGUCUGCAGAGUUCGGGUUGGAUCUAGUAGGAGACGAGGCAUAGUCACCCGCUUUUCGGCCAGUUUUCGCCAGUAGGUUGCCUGUUCAACCUACUCGUAUUUUCUUGCUUCCGCUUGUGUUUAGUAGCUCUGAAUACUUUAGAAUUUUUGUAUAUUAUGCGAUGUUCAGAAGUGUAAUAUGAAAUUUUCGAGUUAGGGUUGUCCAUCUACAAGGGAGAUUUUCUUAAUCUUUUCAGUAAAUUUUCCUUGGAGGUGGUCCCCGCACGACUUACUCUGGGUUUCAGGGUGAAACUCGGGGUGGGUCGUGUCAAGGAGGGCUACAAAACGAGCCAAGGAUCGCCGGUUUUAGUGGCCGGAGGAGGGAGCUCCGGCGAGUGAAUCACCACGGCUUCUUGCCGUGAUAACUUGAAAUUUCCGACGGGAGAGGGGCUGUCACCAACUCAGGGCUGGAGAGGGAAGGACAGGGGUCCAAACGAGACCGGUCCGGCGUCCUGGCUCGGCCGGUCGACGGCGGCAAGAGCUGGAGAAAAACCGGACACUGGAGAGGUCGGGAGAGGCUGGGAGGAGAGAAGAAAAAGAGAAGAGGAAGAGAAGAAAAAAGAGAAGGGAAGAAUGGCUUUGGGCCUCACACCCCCAAACCGGGCCAACAACCUUAUACACCAAAACCCAACUCUAAAAUUUACACCCCAAAAUAAAAUACCCUAUUAAAAAUUACCUUUUAUUAGCUAAAAUUUACCAUUUUCACCGUCGUUAUAUUUUCUCCUACGAAUCACUCUCUGAAAUAAUCGUCCCCCAAAAUCCCACUAGGGACCAAUUAAACUAUAACUUCAUUGACGGAGACGGUAAAAUUCUUAUUAUAAUCAAGCUAGUAAAUAAGGUAAAAAUUUAAGGGUCCGGAUGUGACACGUACUCCUCGAAAACAGACUAGGGUGAAUUGCCAAGCUAGAUUUCGGAUCAAUUACACUGAUGGGUGUAGAGUUUAUAUGGUGAAGAUAUUCGUUCCAGAGCAUAAUCAUGAACUAGCUACUGGGAACCAGAUUGCAUUCGUUUAUGCUCAUCGUCAUGUCAGCGACGCAGCUUUGGCUCUGACAAACACAAUGACAAGGGUUUCAAUUAGACCAUGUCACACAUAUGAGUAUAUGGUGGAGCAGGCUGGGGGAUAUUCGGUAGUGGGAUUCACCAUGAAGGACCUCUACAACAAGCUUGACCAACAACGACGGACCUCCCUAUUUGAGAGUGAUUCCAAAGGAGCGCUUUCCUACAUGAGAGCACUGGCAGCAAAAGACCCACACUUCAUAUGCAGAUUCACUACAGAUUUGGAAGACAGGUUAGUGGACAUUUUUUGGCGAGAUGGCAUUCAUUUGUUGAUUAUCAGUGUUAUGGGGAUGUGCUGAUAUUCGAUAGCACAUACAAAACCAACAAGCCAUUGGUUAUGUUUGUUGGGUCGAACAACCAUCGAGGUAGUAUUAUUUUCGGUGCUGCCCUUAUUUCGGAUGAGACUGAGGAGACAUACACUUGGUUGCUUCGUACAUUUUUGGAGUCGAUGAACGGGAAGAUGGCAAAGGCGGUACUCACAGACAGUGACGAGGCCAUGCGUAAGGCAAUUGAAACUGUGAUGCCGGAAGCAAGGCACCGUCUAUGUAUUUGGCACAUAGGUAAAAAUGCCUUUACCCACUUAAAGUCUGAGGAAAAGUUGAAGGCUUUUAACAGAUGCGUGAGGAAGAAUCAAACAGUUGAGCAAUUUGAAAGGUUGUGGCAGGAAAUGAUUGACGAACUUGAUCUCCAUGACGAUAUUUGGAUCAGGAAUAUGUAUGAAAAGAGAGACAAGUUUUGUCAAGCAUUCAUCGGUGACAUAUUUAUGGCCGGAAUGAGAAGCACACAAAUGUGUGAGGGCAUGAAUAAAGAAUUCAAGAGGGUGCUUAGUAAAGGGAAAUCCCUUGUGGAGCUUGUUGCGUUGGUGUACAGAUUACUUAUGAAACUGAGACACAAUCAAGAAAGGGAUGAAUUCAUCUAUAUGAAUUCCUUUCCUGGUGCCGUAACUCACUUGGUAGAUUUGGAGAUACAAGCCUCUUCUAUAUUCACACACGAUGUGUUUAAAUGGAUUGUAAGAGAGAUCAAGAAAAAGAGCUUUAAUACACUAAAGCAAGGAGCAGAAUGUCAUGAAGAUGGUAGUCGUGUUUACAAGCUAUCAGUAUACAAACGGCCUGAAUUUGACCACACUGUUGUUCUUGGUGCCGUAACUCACUUGGUAGAUUUGGAGAUACAAGCCUCUUCUAUAUUCACACACGAUGUGUUUAAGUGGAUUGUAAGAGAAAUCAAGAAAGAGAGCUUUAUUACACUAAAGCAAGGAGCAGAAUGUCAUGAAGAUGGUAGUCGUGUUUACAAGGUAUCAGUACACAAACGGCCUGAAUUUGACCACACUAUUGUUUACCACCCUGAGAAAGAGACUGACAGUGCAAAAGACUCGAUUAUGCUGUGUUCUUGCAGAAUUAAUGUUUCAGUACGGGGGAGUACCAUGUCGUCACAUGUUCACGGUGAUGAAAAAGAACACAUUUUUGAGCUUCACAAGUCACUGAUCGUCAAGAGAUGGUCAAAAGACGCAAGAACUGUGUGUGAGAUCCCUUAUCCAGAUCAAUCUAUGCCUAGAGAAGCAUUGGAAGUGAGCAAGUAUGGUGCUCUAACUGCCGAAUGCAAUCGAUUGUGCUUUUAUGCUUCAAAGACAGAUGCAGGGUACAACUUGUUGCAGAAGGAGAUCAGUUGUCACAUCCCGACCCUUAUAUUUUUACCUUAUUUACUAGCGUGAUUAUAAUAAGAAUUUUUACCGUCUCGAUCUUUGAGUUAAUAGUUUAAUUGGUCCCUAGAGGGGUUUCGGGGACGAUUAUGUGCGGAGGAUUAUUCGUAUGAGGAAAAUAUGACGACGGUAAAAAUAGUAAAUUUAGCUAGUAAAAGGUAAUUUUUAUUCGGGUAUUAUUUUUUGGGGUGUUUUAUUUGUAGGAGUUGGGUAUUUUAGUAUUGUUGGACCGGGUGUAGAGGCCCAUUUCUCUUUUCUCUUUUUCUCCUCUUUUCUCCUCCCGGUUCUCUCUCCCCCGAGCUUUCCCGCCGUCCGGAAUUCCGACCGCCAGACCGCCGCCGUCCGGCCGCCCCAGACCCAAUCGAUCGGUCUCUGACCCAGCUAUCUUCUAGGACCGGUAGCAGCCCCCCUAGCGCCGCCGUGAGAGAGCGGUGCCGCCCGAAAGGAUAGGCUGCCCCGAACUUCCGGUCGCCAGAACUCCCUCCUCCGGCCACCAAUCUGGGCAAGCUUGGUACGGUUUUGUAGCCCUCCUCCCGUGCAGCAACCCCUCCAAGCAGCUCCCUCCCUCUUGAGCUAGGUAAGGAGAAAUGUGGAGUUGAAAUUUCUAGGGCUUUUAAGUCGUUUUCGUUCGAUUAGCCUAGUUAGGCUUGGAAUUGGGUGAUGUGUUGGUCAUGAAAGUUGUACAGGAGAUUGAGAGGAAGAUUCUGUUAAAAUUUGGUAGCAUUUGCAGGUCGUCGGAGUUGGUCGCCGGCCGCCGCUGCCGGCGGAGCCGCCGGCGGCGCCGCCGCUGUUUUGGGAAAUUUUGUGGUUUUUGAUGUAGAAUAUUAAGAGGAUAUUAUUGAGGUGAAUUUUGGAAUUUUUGGAUGAGAUUUGGAUAGGUUUGUGAAUUUCCGAAGUUUGGUAUUUUUGGCGGUUAAUUAAUGUAGAAUCCGGCCGUAGGAUUUAAGUCGUAUUUUGAGGAGGUGGUAUUUACGACUGUUGAGUAUGAUAUUUAAGUUCGGAUCGUUCCGAUUUAAGAUUAUCGAAGUUAGGCAAUGAUGAGCGUAUUUAUGGCUCUCGGGUAAUUUUUCCUAUUUUAAUUAAAUAUUGGAUUAUUGGUUGGGAAAUUAAUAUUAUAUUUAGAACAGGACGUGAGGAGGCUCGAGCAGACGAGGCCCCAGAUCGACAUCAGGCUUAGGCCUAAUUUGUGAGUGGACUUUUAUUUGAAAUAAUUUGCAUGCUAUGGUUCAUGAUUGAACAUUUCUUUUUGUUGGAGUAUUGACGUCAAUUAAUUUUGACGCUUUUAUUUCUCUUAGAGAGUUACCGAAAAUGGGAUUUUCGGUGAAUAUAAAUAUGUAUUUAUGAGAGAGUAUGUAUACAAAAUGCUAGCUAGCCAUAUGUGUCUGUCCACCUUAAUGGUGUAGCAUAUAGCCGCAUUAUGGUGUGACGUGAGCGUUGGACGUAAGCGUAGUAGCCCUAUUUGAGUGUUUAAUUCAGAUAGGGGGUAUGGACACAUAUUUAUACACCCGUCUGUCCACCUUGAUGGCGUAGUGUAGCACCGCAUUAAGGCGUGACGUGAGCGUUGGACGCGAGCGUAGUAGCCCUAUAUAGACCCAUGAAUUUAUAUAGGGAGUAUGGACGAGUGUAAAUACAUACAUAUAUUAUAGAGUCUGAGAGGCUCGAUAUUUUAUGGGAUAAAAGUUUUAUCGCUUGCGGCAUGCAUUCGAUUUUUCCUUAGAAAUUAAUUUGGGGAAACAUAAAUAUUUUAUUUAUUAUUUUAUUUUUUGUGCACUCACUCUAACGUUAUUAAAUGUUUUCCUCUGGGCCCUUCGUUUUAAAUUGCCCAGUCUGCAGAGUUCGGGUUGGAUCUAGUAGGAGACGAGGCAUAGUCACCCGCAUUUCUGCCAGUUUUCGCCAGUAGGUUACCUGUUCAACCUACUCGUGUUUUCUUGCUUCCGCUUGUGUUUAGUAGCUCUGAAUACUUUAGGAUUAUUGUAUAUUAUGGGUAGAAUUUCUGAAGGAUAAUUAUGUGAUGUUCGGAAGUGUUGAAUUAAGAGUGUAAUAUGAAAUUUUCGAGUUAGGGUUGUCCAUCUGCAAGGGAGAUUUUCUUAAUCUUUUCAGUAAAUUUUCCUUGGAGGUGGUCCCCGCACGACUUACUCUGGGUUUCAGGGUGAAAUUCGGGGUGGGUCGUGUCAUCAGUAGACUCUCAUCAAUUGUUGAAGGUUUUGCCAAAGAAAAAGAAAAAGUUCAAGCUCCGGCCACACCCAGCAAUAUGAAAGGUAAUGUUGUGAGAGACCCUAUCCCGGUUAGGACCAAAGGCAGAGAAAAAAUGACAAGAAGACUGAGGCUCCCAGACAACCGAUUACUUGUGGUUAUUGCCAAGGUAUUGGACACAACAGUCAAACAUGUAAUGUUAGGAAGGAGAAAGAAAAAGCUGAGAAGAGCAAUGAAAAUGAUGAACGAAACACUGACCCUCGUCCUUCAGUUGCAACACCUGGAAAGAGAUCCUAUGGUUAUUGCAAACGAUCUGGACACAAUACUCAAACAUGUGAUGUUAGGAAAGAGAAAGAAAAAGCUGAGAAGACAAACGAAAAUGUUGCGGGAACAAGCAAUGAUCCUCUUCCUUCGGUUGCGACACCUGCAAAGAAAACUAUUCACUGUAGUACGUGCAAAGGAGCCGAGCACACACACUGUAGAUGCCUAAAAAAAACAAUAAAAGGAGACGCCUCCCCCACAUCUGAGGAGUGAUUCCUUAUUCUGGUGAUAUAGGUGCCGAUUUUAGUUAUAGUUGUAGUUCAAAUUUCUUGUACUCUGUGUUUGGCAUUUCAUUUUACUUUUCAGUAAUGUCAACGUGAAUUUAGAUUUUACUUUAGAUUUCCUUGUUUUGUUUUUGCUUUGUGAAUGGUCUAUCUCGCCGUAGGACACUUUUUCAAAAAGUCUACAUGAAGUAAAAAAACUUUCCUAAGAGAAGUAGAUGAUUAUGUAAUAACUAUAGAGCUAAUAAGGUAAUACUACGGAGAACACAUCUCCAGAAAGUCUACAUUGUAUCAUGCUUUUAUCAUAAACGAAGAGUAGAACGUCUUUGCAGAAAAAGUAGCCCAUUCAAUACUGUCGAACAAUUAUCAUCCACUAUUGGUAAGGUUUACGAUGAUGGAGCACUAGUAACCUUGCAUAAAUAUAGGCUGUAAACUGAAAUAUAUUGAUGUAAGUAGAUGGUAAUGAUGCACAUAAUUAUUACAAUGGACAUAAUUAAUGAUUAUUAUAAAUACAUGGAUUAUUUUAUGUUAAUAAAAACACACGGAAUUUAAUGCAAAAUUCAUUCCAGUAGACCAAUAAGGAAAUUAUUCCUAUUUGGGAUUAGGGUUUGUGAUGAUGGAUAAAGCACUAGUAACCUUGCAUUUAUAUAGGGUUAUUUUAUGAUGAUCGAGCUCUCUAGUCACCUGUAGUGUACAAUGGGUGUAGGGUUUAUGAUGAUGAAGCCUCACUAUUCUUAUAUACCUGAUGGACCAUAUAGAUGUCAUUUUAGCUUUUUAGUGUCGAGAAGCACAUUGUAAGUAAUCUCCUACUUGUUAUGGGAUUUCCACCCCAUGAUUUAUUUUAUGUUCACUAAGAUGGACCCCCAUAUCAAAUUCAUUUUAUAUGUUCACUACGCUUAUAUAUGCCGCAAUAUCAUAUAUGUUCAGAGAGAGAGAGAGAGAGAGAGAGAGAGAGAGAGAGAGAGAGAGAGAGAGAGAGAGAGAGAGAGAGAGACGACGACGACGACGACGUACGUACGUACGUACGUACNNNNNNNNNNNNNNNNNNNNGAGAGAGAGAGAGAGAUGGCAGAGCACGACCUAACCCCGCAUUGUAUCAAUAUGCCAAAUUUCAGUUUGAGUGCGGUAACUAAUCUGGUGCUGUUGAUUAUCUGUUUCAGUACAGGGCUUUAUGCACCAACAGCGAGAGGAGUCUCAGUGCUUUGUGGGGAAAGCUGGCAGCUGAGAUAUUGAUGCAAAACUGGGAUAUUGCUCUUGAGGAGCUUAACCGCCUCAAGGAAAUUAUUGAUUCCAAGAAUUUCAGUUCGCCCCUGAUUCAGGAGUUUUUGACAUGUGUUUAUGUUAAUUAUGGCAUGUGUUUAUGUGAUAUUGAAUGAUCCCUUCCUUGGAAAGCGAGUUGAAGAAGGCAAUUUCACUAUUGUACCAUUGAGGGAUGAAUUCCUUGAAAAUGCUCGUCUAUUUAUCCCUUAUCUUUGAGUCUUACUGCCGCAUACAUCAGCGCAUUUCCUUCAUCUAGACUGAGAUUUGAAUUACUAGAGGUUUUGUUGACUUGUAAGUAGAGGUUUUCAUUAGUAACAUGAGGUUUGUCAGAUCAGACUGUAAUUUACUUCCCCAUGAUUUAUUUGUCUGUACUUUUGGAGGUAAUGUGUAUGGAAAUUAUUUUCUUAAAAAAAAAUGCUUCAUUUUAGGGCUUGAGUUUAAUGUAUAUAGUGUUUAUGAUCGAUGAUGGAGCUAAUGUCAUCUAUCCCGUAUAUAGGGUUUUAGGUUUAUAAUCUUGGUAUAAUCUUCUAGGUAGUGUGACCUUUAAAGUAUGAUCGAACAUGCUUAUAUAUAGUAAACUCCUACUUGUAUCGGGAUUUCCACUUCGAUCACAAUUAUAUCUUCAUUAUGCUUAUAUAUGUUGUGAUCGAUGGACAAUAUAACAUUCAUUUACUAGUACAAUGCUUGACUUUAGUUCUUGAGUUUCAUUGUAUAUAGUGCUUAUGAUGAUCGAACUAACGUCACCUAUCGUGUAUAUAGCAUUUGAUGUUUAUAAUGUUAGAGCUAACAUCACCUUAAAGUAUGUACGGUUUCAGAUGUCGUUUAUAAUGUUUAAGGUUUACUCUCUAUAUAGUAUCUGGAACACUUUGGACAUAUCCGCUCAAGGUUCUAAAAAACGUUGGGCACUAGUCGGGCGGACAGCGCCCAAAAGAUUAAUCGGGGAUUAAUCGGUUUUCUAUUUUUGUAUUUAUUUUAAUUUUUUAAUACCAAAUAAUUAUCUAAUACAAUUAAAAUUACAAUUGACAUGUAAUUAUAUAAUUAUUAAUACAAUUAUUUUGGUUGAAAAGUCAAUUUACAUGUCUCAUUAAAUUUGAGUGUAGUUAUUUAGAUUAAAUCUGAUAAGUAAUUAAAUAUACAUUUGGGUAGUAUUGAUUAAAUUAAGAAAAAGACAAAAAUUAUUGGAUGUAUAGGCCCAAAGGGAGAGCCCAACAAUUUAACCCAUUGCUAAGUCAAUUUUCCCUACACAUCUUUAUCCCUUCCGCCUCCUCUUUCGCUUCUGCUGCAUUGUCCUUCUCUUCUGCAAAGCUGCAAACAUCGUCCCUCCUCCUCUCAUGACCACCGCCCACCGCAUCUAGGACUCCAGGUCAGCCCCUUCCUCGUCGUCCUCUGCUCCUCUCUUCUUCCCCAUUCAAUUGCACCAAAAUCCCAGAUUUCAGUUACUGAAAUCCGAUAAAAAAAAAAAAAAAAACUAGUCGGCGCUCCGCCCAGCCCCGCCUAGGCGGCCACAAAACGGCCGGCCGACUACACCAGGCGAUUUGCCUGAAAUCGGGGCGGCUUACGGGCUCCGGGCGCCCAGGCGGCGCCUAGGCCGUUUUUUAGAACAUUGUAUCCGCUACCAAUGUCGGUUUAGGGUUUAGGGGUUAGGGUUUGUGUGCAAGAUAAAGUAAGCAUAAGCACAGUCAAAACCAGAAAUUAUAACCCUUGACUUCGAUAGAAGAGUACACUUGUCUCUCUAUUUGUGUAGUAGGCGUGAUUUUUGAAAUUUCUUUUUUCCAAAAUCUUCCUUCACGCGUUUGAAAUUUGAAAUUUGGACUUGGAUAGGCGGGCAUUUAGUGGCUAAAAAUUUGAGUUUUCAUUUUCCCUUUCAUUUUCAUUUAGCGGGACUUUCCAUAUUCAUCUCGAAUUUUGUAUUGAAACUGAAAGGGUUUUAGACGCCACACAUAACCCUAACCCUAAACAAGCAGUAUAAACCGCCCCGAUGUAAAAUUCUCUGCAACUCAUGUUCUCUUCUCUCUAAACUCCAAAUUGUGAACGAACGUUUCAGAAGCCAUGGCCCGGCAAAAGCUGACCACUCACAUGACCGGUAUUCCUCGUUACCCUCAUGGUGCUUCACCUCCGGUGAUUGAAAUUAGCCAUAGCUCCCCCUCUCAUGGUGCUUCACCUUCAAGGUCUUCAUCUUUAGAUGCAGUUCGAUGCAUUACACCCGUUCUUGCGGUAUAUACUGGUUGCUCUAUUUUGUUCAUUUGUUUAUUGCUUUCUUAAUUUGUUGCUAAAUUGGAUUGUCAAUUGAUUAUGAAAUUAUGUAUGCAAGGACUCGUCAUCUUCCUCGCCUUCUCGUUCGUGUUCUGAGAGAGGCACAUCAUCUAAGAGGGCUAGGCUCUCCCCCACACCAUCCCAUAAAGGCAAUGGCAAAGCUAUUCAGAUAUGUAUAAGUCUGGAAAUCUGUUUAUCUGUCCUGAAAUGGUUUCUGAAUAUAUGUCAAGACCCACCUCAAAUUUUACCCUAAAACCUGGAGUAAACCUGAAAAAUUCGGCAUAACCUCCAUUGUAAUUGGACAGCCAUAUAACAACACAUCCAACCUCAACACCUGGAGCGACCCGCUCCCCCACAACACAUCCACCACACACAAAAAAUAAUAUCAUCUUCAAACCCAACACAUAAAUAUCCAAUUUAUAUCAUACACCAUCAUUUGGAUUGACACGACCCACCCCGAAUUUCACCCUGAAACCUGGAGUAAGUCGAGCGGGGACCACCUCCAAGGAAAAUUUACUGAAAGGAUUGAUAAAAUCUCCCUUGAAAAUGGACAACCCUAACUCGAAAAUUCCAAAAUACACUUUUAAUACAACACGUCCAAACAUCACAUAAUUAACCUUCAGAAAUUCUAAACAUAAAUUACAAUAAUCCCAAAGUAUUCAGAGCUACUAGACACUAGCGGAAGCAAGAAAACACGAGUAGGUUAAACAUGUAACCUACUGAUGAAAACUGGCGGAAAUGCGGGUGACUAUGCCUCGCCUCCUACUAGAUCCAACCCGAACUCUGCAGACUGGGCAAUUUAAAACGAAGAGCCCAGGGGAAAACAUGUGGAACAGUUAGAGUGAGUGGACAAAACUAAAUUAAAAUAAAAGUAUUUCUUUAUGCUUCCCCAAUUUAAUUUCCAAAUAAAAUAAUGCUGCAUGCAAUCGCUCAAAAGCGCUCAACUCAAAAACUGGUAACUUCACGACCAGCACCGGCUAGUCUCCAAAACUUAAUAAAAUACAACCUCUCAGGCUAAAUUAUAUAUAAACAUAUAUAAGUGUAUGUAUUUACACUCGUCAGACUCCUUGUAUGAAUUCUAAGAACAAAUUCGAAAAAUAGAAAUUCAUACAAGGCUACUACGCUUGCGUCUAACGCUCACGUCACACCAUAAUGGAAUUGUACCUCAGUAUGGCGGAAAAAGCAUGAGUGUAUAUACGUGUGGACUCCCUAUAUGAAAACCUAAAUAAACCAAAUAAGAAAAUAGUUUUCAUAUAGGGCUACUACGCUUGUGUCUAACACUCACGUCACAACAUAAUAGUAUUUUACCUCAUUAUGGCGGAUCAAACACGUAUGGCUAGCUAGCAUUUAUAUAUACAGACUAUCAUCAUAAACAUCCAAUAAACAUAUCCACCGAAAAUCUCAUUUUCGAGAUCUCUCCAAAGGAGGAAAAUUGCCAAAUAUCCGAGAAACAAAUAAAUCUCAGGAAAAGAAAUAAAUGAUCAACAGAUAAUUCAUCGCAUGCUUUUCAAUUAAAAUAAAGGUCCACUCACAAAUUAGGCCUAAGCCUGAUGACGCUCCGAGGCUUCCUCUGCUCGGGCCUCCUCUCGUCCUGUUCCAAAUAUAUAAUUAAUUUCCCACCAAAAAUCUAAUAAUUAAACAAAAUGGGCAAAAUUAAACGUGAGCCUCCCAUACACUCAUCAUUACCCAAAUUCGCCAUUCUUAACUCAAUACGGCUCAAACUUUGCCGAACAUACCGGCAGCCGUAAAAACAGCUUCCCACAGAAUACGACUUAAAUCCUACGGCCGGAUUCUACAUUAAUUAACCGUCAAAAAAUACCAAACUUCGGAAAUUCACAAACCUAUCCAAAACUCAUCCAAAAAUUCCAUAACUCACUUCAAUAAACUCCCCUUAAUAUUCCAAAUCUAAAAACAUUAAAAUCUCCCAAACAGCUCCGGCGCCAGCGCCGGCUCCGCCGGCAGCGGCGGCCGGAGGCCGAUUCCGGUGACCUCCAAUUUCUACCAAAUUUUAACAGAAUAAUCCUCUUAUCAAGCACAAGAACUUUCCUAACUAGCACUUAGUCCAAUUCUAAGGCUAACUAGGGUAAUCGACUAAAAACAUCCAAAAAUCCCUAGAACUUCAAUUAUACAUUUCUCCAUAACCACAACGAGAUAGACUUAUUCCUUUUGGGGGGAUACUCACCUUGGUGAGAGCUACAAAAUGAGCUAAAUAUUGCGAGUUUUGGUGGCCAAAAAUGGGAUUUCUGGCGAAAUGCUUCCCGGCGUCUCCAGCGGGUUUUCUCCUCUUCUGACGGGUUAGAGGCUCGGGGGCUAGGCCGGGGAGGGAGAGGAGGAGAUGGGGGUCCGAACAGGGCUGGAGCAGCGGCCGGACGGCGGCAGCUGGUGGCUGGGAGCUUCCGGCGGAGAGGGGCUCUAGGAGCUCAGGGAAAGAGGGAAGGGAGAAAGAGAGAGAGUGAAGGAGGAUAUGGGCUGCUCACACCCGGUCCAUAACCCUUAAACCCAACAAAUUUUACCCACUAAAAAAAAAUACCUUUUUUUACCACCUCAAAAUUUACUCUUUUAGAUAAUAACUUUUUCAUGCUAACUCUGAUUUUAACACAUAGCAUGUCUACGAACUCGUAUUAACGUCUUCUACAACUUUCAUGAAGAAAGUUUCUCCAAAUUCUAAACGAAAAAUAAAGUCAACUUUAGGGUCCUUAGGUAGUAAACGGUUAUUCAACACGGUAAAAGACUAAAAUAAUACCAAAGUAAAUAACCGUAAAAUAACUUAAGAACCGGGGUGUGACAUGGAUAACUCUCAAAUUAAUAAACAAAGACUUAGCACACAACCGAACUAUUAUACAAAUAAUCCCAAGGUAAUCAGAGCUACUAAACACUAGCGAAAACAAGAAAAUAUGGUAGUAGGUUAACAGGUAACCUACUGAUGAAAGGUGGAAGAGAUGCAUGUCGGUGACUAUGCCUCGCCUCUGACUAGUGCCAACCCGAACUCUGCAGAUUGGGCAUUUUAAAACGAAGUGCCCAGGGGAAACAUUUGAAACCGUUAGAGUGAGUGGACAAAAAUAAAUUAACUACUUUUUGAAGUACCACUACUUUUUGAAAACAAUCUACCAUAGCUCUAUAUGCUUCCAAAAAGUUCAUUCCCAAGAUCACAUCAAACUCCACUAUACCUAAAGGAAUUAAAUCGGCCUUGAAAUUAACUCCUUCUACUAAAACUUCACAACCACUAAACACCCAAUUUAUCCUCAUCACCUCACCGGAGGGUAGAGACACAUGCCACUCACCUGGAAGAGACGAUGAUGGCACAUUGGCAUAGAGGGCAAAUCUACUAGACAUAAAUGAAUGCGUGGCUCCGGGAUCAAUUAAAGUAAAAGCAGGCUGGCCAAAAAUUAAUAACGUACCAAUGAUGACAUCUAGAGAAGUACGACCUUCCUGCUGGGUCAUAGCAUGCAAUCUAGCGCGAGUCAUGGGACGUCCACGCUGACCACCACCCUGCAGAGAGCUACCACUGGCCGAUGCACUGCCCUGGGCACCACUAAUGGAGCCUCUAGAUGAAGACUGACCAACUGGCUGAGUAGGGAUAGGGGUGGUCCUCUGAGCCAACAAUGGACAAUCUCUCCUGAAGUGGUCUUGACCACCACACUCAAAACAUCCAGAAAAUUGCUAUUGCCCAAAAGAAAACGUCUGACUACUGGAGGACCCACCAUGGAAGCUGCCACUAGAACCAUACUGACCAGACUGCUGCCUACCCAAAUGACUCCGAGAAGAUCUCCUGAAACGUCCUUUAUUCCUGUUUCGAGCACCAGAACUCGAUCCCCCACUACCGUCACUACCAGCAGAAGACCCAAAAGCGGAUGAUGAAGCAACCUUCUUGGAUGGACCUUGACUGGGGCCACUGUAAUCACAGGGCCGAGUACCAUGUGUCCUCAUGUUCUCAAUGGCCAUGGCUGCACUAACCGCAUCCAUAAAGGUCAAGUAAAUUACACCCGUCAUCUUAUCUACAGACACACCACCAACUGCCCCAACGAACAUCUCAAUCCUAGUCCUCUCAUCCGGAACCAGGUAUUGCACAUGAUAGGUCAGGGAAGUGAAUCUCUGCUCAAACUCUAUGACCCCCUCAUUAUCCCUCUUCUGAAUGUUCAGGAAAUCUGACUGUAUCCUACUGCGGUGGCCAUGUUUGAAAUACUGCCCUAAGAAGAGCGUCUUAAACUGCUCCUAUGUCAUAUUCUGAGCAUCCUCAACAUUCCUGCUGGCAAGCGACCACCAGUGAUGGGCUGAAUCAUCCAGAAAAGUCAUUGCCAUAUUCACUUUCUUAUCUUCUGGCAACCCAGUGCUGUCAAAAGCCUUCUCCAUCUUGUCUACCCAAUUAUAAGCAUCAAGGGUCCCUUGGCACCCUUGAACUCCCUUGCUCCACCUUCAUAAACAUCCUUUUUCUUCACAGUCCAAGGGUUCUGAGUCCGCUCUAGCACUCCCCUCAACAUAUCUCCAAUAGAAUUUACUAGCUCCCUGACCUCAUUGCCCUCAUUGGCGUUGGUCGAACUACCCUCACGGGGUUGGCGUUGGCAUCUAGGAGGCAUAGUACCUGAGGAAGAAGAUAUUUAGUAGUCUAUAAACAAGACUAACACAACUAUCACACAUACCCAAUAACAAAUAGCAUCCAAAGCAUAAACUGCCAAUGAAUCUGCCGCGGUCGGAUCAUCACUCUAUAGACACUACGUGCUACUUAGGUAAAUAUGAUAGUGACAAGGAGGUAGGAAAUGAAACCUAAAGCUCUGAUACCAACUAUCAAGACCCACCCCAAAUUUUAUCCUAAAACCUGGAGUAAGUCCUGCGGGACCACCUCCAAGGAAAAUUUACCGAAAAAUUUGGUAUAACCUCUCUUGAAAAUGGACAACCUUAUCCUGAAAAAAAUUCAGAUAACACUCCUAUACCAACACAUCUAACCUCAACACCUGGAGCCACCUGCUCCCCACAACACAUCCACCACACACAAAAAAAAUAUCAUCUUCUAAUCCAACACAUAAAUAUCCAAUUUACAUCAUACACCAUCCUUUGGAUAACUCCCAAAUUAAUAAACAAAGACUUAGCACACAAUCGAACUAUUAUACAAAUAAUCUCAAGGUAAUCAGAGCUACUAAACACUAGCGGAAACAAGAAAAUAUGGUAAUAGGUUAACAAGUAACCUAGUGAUGAAAGGUGGAAGAGAUGUGGGUGAUUAUGCCUCGCCUCUGACUAAUGCCAACCUGAACUCUGCAGACUGGGCAUUUUAAAACGAAGGGCCCAGGGGAAAACAUUUGAAACCGUUAGAGUGAGUGGACAAAAAUAAAUUAAUAAAUAAAAUAUUUAUGCAUUCCCAUUUGAAUUUCCAAAGAAAUUAUGUUGCAUGCGAAAAUUCUAAAGUGCUCAACCCAUACCCUGGCAAUUUCAUGACUAGCUCUGGCUAGUCUCCAAACUCAAUAAACUGGAGCCUCUUAGGCUAAAGUAUAUAUAAACAUAUAUGUGUAUGUAUUUACACUCAUCAGACUCCUUGUAUGAAUUUUAUGAACAAAUUUGAAAAGUAGAAAUUCAUACCAGGCUACGACGCUUGCGUCUAACACCCACGUCGCUCCCUAAUGGAAUUUUUCCUCAUUAUGACCGAAGAGGACGUUUGUAUAUAUACGUGUGGACUCCCUAUAUGAAAACCUAUAUAAACCAGAAAAGAAAGUAGUUUUCAUAUAGGGCUAUGACGCUUAUGUCUAACACUGACGUCACGCCAUAAUGGUAUUUUACCUCAUUAUGAUGGACCAAGCACGUAUGACUAGCUACCAUUUAUAUACAUACUAUACUCAUAAACAUCCAAAAUACAUAUCCAUCGAAAAUCUCAUUUUAGGGAACUUUCCAAAGGAGGAAAAUUGUCAAAUAUUCGAGAAAGAAAUAAAUCUCAUCAGAAGAAAUAAAUGAUCAACAGAAUAAUUCAUCGCAUGCUUUUCAAUUAAAACCAAGGUCCACUCACAAAUUAGGCCUAAGCCUAAUGUCGCUCCGAGGCUUUUUCUGCUCAGGCCUUCUCUCGUCCUGUUCCAAAUGUAAUAUUAAUUUCCCAACCAAAAAAUCAAAAAACUUACACAAAAUAGGCAAAAUUAACCGAGAGCCAUAAACACGCUCAUCAAUGCCUAACUUCGAUACGGUCCACACCUCAACACUUAAACCAGCAGCCUUAACUACACCCUUCCACAGAUUUUACGACUUAAAUCCAACGGCCGGAUUCUACCGUAUUAAUCCACCACAAUUACUAAACUUUAAAAAUUCCCACAUCUAUCGAAAACUCCUCCAAAAAUUCUAAAAUUCACAUCAAUAACUCCUAUUAAUAUAACCAAUCAAAAACCAUGAAAAUCCCCUAAAUAGCGGUGGCCGGAGGCCAACUCUGGCGACCUCCAAAGCCUACCAAAUUUUAAUAGCAACUUCCUUUCAACUCCCUCUACAACUUUCUUAACCAGCACAACACCCAAUUCUAAGCCUAACCAUGCCAAUCGAACGAAAACAUCCUAGAAAACGCUAGAGCUUCAACACCAUUACCUCCUUACCUAGCUCAAGAGAGAGUGAGACCUUUGGAGGGGUUGCUGCACGGGAGGAGGGCUUUCUUUUGAGCCAAGCAGCUCCGGCUUUGGUGGCCGGAGAAGAGAGUUCCAGCGACGGAACCACCACGGCAGUCGGACCUUUCGGGGGAGAGAACUCCUUCACGGCGGAGCUAGGGCGGCUCUCACCGGCCUAGAAUGGAAGUUGGGUCGGAGGCCGACUGUUUGGAACCGGAGCGGCGGCCUACGGUGGCCGGAUUGCGGCGAACUGAGGGGGGGAAAAUCCGGCAGAGAAGAGGACUCGGGGGAGGGAAAUCGGGAGAGAAGAGAGAGAAGUGAGGGGAGUGAUGUGGGCUUUUCCAACCGGUCCAACACCUUAUGCAAAACCAACUCCAUAAAUUUACACCCCAAAAUAAUACCCUAAUAAAAAUUACUUUUUACUAGCCAAAAUUUACCAUUUUUACCGUCGACACAUUUUUCUCCUACGAAUAAUUCUCCGAAAUAAUCGUCCCCCAAAACCCCGCUAGGGACCAUUUAAACUAUAAACUCAUUUAAACUAUAAGCUAGUAAAUAAGGUAAAGAUUUAAGGGUCGAGAUGUGACAAUAUAUUUCUCAAUUGAUUUAUGAAUUUAUGUAUGCAAGGACUCGUCAUCUUCCUCGCCUUCUCGUAAAAAACUAUCAGAAUCGCUUGAUUCAUUCGUACGGCGGACUCAUGAAGGGAUACCUAGAUAUGUACACCGCCCUCUUAGCCCCCCACCCUCACGCCCCAUGACAAUGAUGGACGCCGUUGCUGCCCUUGAAGAUGUCCUAGCUCAGAUUUACAUGUUAACUUCAUCUGUCAAUGCAAUUAAGUGUAAUAUUGAAGACCGAAUCAACAAGGCAGCCCGAAAGUAAUCUAGGGAGAGGAGAGGAGUCAGCGUGAUCCUUGAUUUAGUGUUGAUCAGUUUGUAACAAUUUAUGUUUUGGUUAUGUUUCUUCAACAUCGGUUAUGUUUCGGCCACAAUUUCUGGAAAUCAUCAUGUGGUGGUGAUUAAUUAAUAUUCUAUCAGUCAGUCCUUUAUCGAUUGUGAUUUUGAAGGAAUUAGGGUUGAAUUUCAAUUCAGUUUCUGUUUAUGACUAGUCGUUUCGUGCAACGAUAUGUCAAGUUUGAAGAACCUACCUGUCACACCCCAAUUUUUGAAAGAUAAUUUUUCAAAAAUUUGGGCAUGAUAUACCUUAAAAUAUUAAAUCCCAAAACCUGUUUUCAAACUAACUUCAAAGAACUAAAACUCAAUGCGGAAAUGUAAAUGUCACACAACUCAACACCGAGUUAAAUAUUAUAUUUCCUUGUUUACAUAAACUUAAAAAUCAAGAAAAUGAAACCACUCACAUGAGUUUUAAUAAAGUCUACCCCAAAUAUAAAAACAAAUACAAUGUACAGCAAAACCCAACAAAAACCCUGCCACUAAGUCUCCGCUUCAACCCUGCUGAUCCUCACCUGCAAGUCUAACCCCUACACCAAGAAAUGGUGUAUCGGGUUGUAAACAACAAACUCGGUAAGCUAAAAAGCCCGUAUGAGUAAUUCUCAAAAUAACACCAAAACUUCCAAUUACCAAUUAUAACACAAGAGCAAUUUAUAUCAAUAAUUAAAAACCACAAAUCCAACAUUUUUCAAUUAACAUGUACCCAUGAGUCUCAGGUAUUAAUAAAUACCCCUCAUGACCUACAACAACGAAAUGUGUACCCAUGGGUCCCAGAUACCCUACCGUAUCUCCCAUGACCUACACUGACAGACGGACUAGAGCUCUAUUCCUAACCGCAACCAAUCACGCGGUCAAAGGCUUGGAACCCGGUUUGACAGUCUAAUAUCAAACACAAAAAUGAUAAAUAGCAUCUUAACAGCAACCAAUCACCCAAUUAUAGGCUUGGAACCCGGUUUGGCUAUUUAUCCAACAAUCACAAUAUCACAACAUUAUCCUCAACAACACAAUAUCCCAUCAUAAAUUAUAUCCUUCCACAUAGAUAUAUUUACAUGAACAAAAUAUAGAUAUUCCACAAGAAUAAUCUAUCAAUAAUCAAUAAAAUUAUGAUCACAUGAAUCUCAAAAAUUGCAUAUAAGGAAAACUUGUUUUAUCUUACCUAUGAGCCGUUGGCGAUCAAGCUCAUAUAUUUUAAAAAAGCAAUUAGAAAAACAUAUUAUUAAAUCCAACAUCAUCAUCAUUAUCAUCAUUACAUGACCAUAAUAACAUUUGGUUCAAAAGUGAACCUUAGUGAGAUUUACUCACCUAAAUAUCCCGCUGCAAAUUCCACAAGCCGACAUUAGCAAGCCCGAACACAACAUCACAAUUCAUCUAAAAUAACACAAUUAAAACCUUAGUAACUAAAAUACUAUAGGUUAACACAAUACCCUUAAACUAACCCUUAGUUCAAGGGAGGACAACUUUCCAAAGUCGUCAAACUUAGCAACCCAAAAUGGCUGCCUCUAAUCCUCAAACCCUAUCUCAACCUCAACCAAGCCUAAUAACAAACUUAAAGUCCUAACAUACAAACCUUGCUCACAACCUUGAAAUUCUACAUCUUCACAAGCUCACCACAAUCAGAGCUAGCUAAAACACAGCAAUCAAAGUCAAAACCACUGCCGGACGUGCUGCCAUGCGCCACCACAAGUGGCGGCGAGUGGUCUCCACGCGCCACCACAAACUUCCGAAUUUGAGAAAACUCUCAACAGCAAAGUUGAAGCUUGAAGAAAGGAGAACAACUUUCAUACCUGAGGCUUCAACCAAUUUUGGCCGGAACCGGCCAGAAACUGCCUCGAAACAGCUACCCGAAUUCAACUACAAAACCUGCAAAUCCGGCCUCAAAACCUCAAAAACUUGUUUCAAUCUAUGCCUAGCCACUACCAGGAGGAGGAGAGGAUCAAAACUCACCUAAGGAUGCCCCUCGUCGCCGCCAGAAACGGUAAAUCCGAUCAAAGACACAGCAGUCCUCUUUCCGGCAACAGAGCUCCGAUUCCAGCGUGCCACACCGAGCAGCAGGUGCCCAGCCUUGAAGAGAUCAAUUGUGGGAGUCGAACGGGACCGGGUGGCGUCCGGUUUGGUGGCCGGAGGAGCGAGAACUCGGCCGGAGAAGAGAGGGAGUUCAGGGGAGCUCGGGAGAGGAAGAGAGAGAAGAGAGUGAGGAGAGUGAGGUGAUUUUAGGGUUCCAAAAUAACUCCCACACACAUUUUUCUACUUAUACACUUUCCAAACCCGAAAACUAACUUCCUCUGACCAUAACUUUCUCAUACGACAUCCGUUUAAGGCGUGCCUCAUGUCUACGAACUCAUAUCGACAAACUCUACAACUUUCAUGAAGGAAGUUUUUGAAGAUAACUUACGGAAAAUAAGUCAACUUUUGGCCUUUUAAAAGUCAAGACACCUUAAAAUAAACUCCCGAAACUUCAACUUCGUAAAAACCAAAGAAUUUCCAUAAACAAUCCUUCAUUAAUUAAGGGAAUAAUACAAGGAAAAAUGAUAUGAAAAACUAGGGUAUUACCCUACCAACAUCUCAUUUCAUAGGUAAAACUGUUUUUAUAUGUCAAGGCUGCUAAUAUCAUAUGAAACGUUCAGCAAAAAAAGUAGACCAUCUUGACUUCACUAACUCGGUAAAUAUACUUGUUUACUUAUCAGAGGGUACCUUUUUAUGAACGGGAGUGUACUAAUUUGCAAUUCAAUAUUCAUGAAAAAAGUAGACCUAUUAGAUAGUGUUGUUUGGAAUUUUCGAUUCAAGAGUAAAAUUUUUUCAAGAAAGAGUAUUCAAUCCUCAUGCCACCACUCUGACCCAUAGUUAUGCAUGUGUUUGAUUGUAAAAUCCCACAAUCAGUUCCACCCUCCUGUUCUGGGGACUGAGCUGGCUAAAAUCAUGUCAAGUAUGCUAAAAUCAUGUGAAACGUUGAGCAACAAAAUUAGGCCAUCUUGCUUCACUGACUCGCUAAAUAGACUUGUUUACUGAUGAGAGGGUAAAUUCUUCCCAAAUUCUUAUGAACAAUAGUGUAGUAAUUUGCAAUUCAACGUUCAUGAAAAAAUUAGACCUAUUGUUAGACAGUGUUGUUGGGAAUUUCCGAUUGAAGAGUAAAUUUUUGUCAAGAAAGAGUAUAGAAUCCCUUGUAUUUUGUCAGAUAGUACCUUCAAACGAGGUGGUUUCUCAUUAAAUCAGUACACUAAGGCCGAGGAAAACCUCUUUCACAUUCCAUUGUAUCUACAGUCUUUUCGUUUCUUAAAAAAUAUUCCCAAAAAAAAACAAUACACUCCUUUCAACAUCUUGAAGAGGCCACUCCUCUAAUCAAGACGUGACUCUUUGGUACCUUAACCUUUAGUUUCAUUCCUCUAUAAAUACAAUGCUUCAAACAAUGAUUCCCACAUAUCUAACUUCUCUUCAUAAGUGUGCAGGGUAUCAUGGUUCGAAGAAACGAAAGAACUCAUGGUAGAAACUACAGUCCAUGGGAAACUCAUCAGCUCAAGUACCGUUUUGCUCUCCAAGAAAAGAAGAUUGCAGAACUUACACAACAUGUUUUUCAGAUCAACAUGCAACUUAUCGAAAUCCACAUAGCCUUGGGAUAUCUCACUAAAUCCAUUAUGGAGUUGGAGGCCAUAAGGGAUGCACCUCCCCCCGUAUUUAACAGACGUGGCUGUGUGCGCAUCAACGUGGCUUGGAGAGAUCCAGAAUCAAGCAUUCACCAGCGAAUGUAGACAUUUGUGGGAGUAUUGCUUAUGUGUUAUCUAGUACUUUUUUUUGUUGGUAUGUAAGUGCAUAAGCACAAGGAAAAAUUAAUGCUGGAUGCGUUCUCUUAUCUUAUCAAAUUGUAGUAUCUUUUCGUUAUUAAUGUCGGUCUGGGGUUUGAAUGCAUACUCUACUUUGUUAUAAUACUUCAGGAAAUCUACUUCUACAUAAAACUAAUAGACCUUGGCAUAAAACUAGUAGACUUGGCAUUUCAACAAAGUAAAUGUUUUCCGAAACAGGAUUUGGCAAUCGAUCAUGGGAUCGAUCAUAUACAAGUUAUAGUACUACCAGUAAUACCAAGAUCCUCAAAGGAACACACAAGCUCUACAAAUGGGAACGUACAGACUUAAGAGUACUAAUCUACAUUUAACAUCCUAAAUCUGACUUACAUUCAUAAACCAUCAUCACAUCAGUCCUUCUUAGGUGGGCCUCAAUUUCUUCGCCGGGGAUGCCUGGGGAGGCACUUCCGCAUACUGUGUUUAAGAAAUUAGAGAGGUCAUUAGAUUCAGGAUUUUGUCCAUCUUACUUGUGACUUCAUGCGCCGUUUGAUAUUUCACAAACGGAGAAGGAUCAACCUCGGCAACAUUGGGUGAGGCGUCAAUAGGGGCAGGCGUUUCAAUUAACUCAUAUUUAGCUUGAAGAUUUCACUUGAUCGUUUCUAGUAAAAAUGCUUCUCUCCGUCACAUAGCCAUUUCUCGCUCCUCUUGGAUGUUUUUUCGAUUUAUGGCCCUUUUCUAUGGCAUGUUUGAUCCAAAUGAUUGAUCGAGAGAUGGAUUAUCGUGAUUGCAGCAACAUGCAAGUAUUGAUCUUUCUGAGCAAGUAGGAUUGAGAGGUGGAAUUCGUGGAUUAAGGGAAGGGAUGGAUUUUUUUGGUCAGAGGCGGCGAAGAAUGGAACCCGACUUCCAUUAAUGGUUUUGGAGAUUCCAACAAGGCAACAGGAAACUAGGGGGUGGGCGGACUAGGCUCUAUGUGAAAUGAUGGGCAGGCCCAUCAAUGUCAAGAACAUGCAAAAGGAAAACUCUAUCAGCCCAUAACAUCUUCAACCCACUUUGUGUUGCAGAUGAUGUUGGAAUCCCAAAUUUAACCUCUAAUUCCCGUACUUAUGAUAAUCCACCUCUCCUUCCCAGAUUGACGAUAGUUUGACGAUCUGUUUUGUCCUCGCAAUCCUUAUUUGGCUUGUACCCCCAAAUUGAAACCCCUAACGCUCGUAUACCCAUACCCUAAAUCACAGUAAUCUACCUCUCAAUCAAUAAUUCCGAUCGAAGAUGCCACUGAAAACGGCGAAGAAGGGAAGAAGUAUCGAAAAGGAGCGAUAUAUGGUUUUGAGACGGUGGAAAGCACUCCUUCUAAAGGUGGUCAAGCGUCGUAAAGUUGAUGUUGGCUCGGUUGCUCCUCGUUCCUCUUUGAAAGAUCCAAAGGACCUUGAGGUCACAGGCAAGCUAGACAAAAUUCGAAGUUUACUGAGCUGUCUAAGUUCUCAAAUAUAGAAUGCGGAACACCCUCCCCAUGCAUCUCCAGCGAAAAAAUUGAGGCCCCGAGAUGGCUCACAAAGUCAGGUAUGAAAUUGUGGAUUUGCAGCAGUUUGUGAGUUGAUCCAUUGUGACUCUUAUAUCAAUGUUUACGGUCUCGUCCUUUUUUGCAUGGAUUACAUUGGAAUUUAGUUGUGGGAAAGUUCGAUUAAAGUAGUUUGUGAGCUGCCAACAUUGUGUUUCUGGUAAGAACCUAUACAUGGAAGAGACACUCCGCCAAAAAAAGGCCCAAAUAUUCCGACAAGGCGCAGAUUGGCCCCUUCAGAGUCAAUGCCGAUAGAGGAGAGACUAACAAGAGACUUGUACUCUUUGUGUACGACACAGAGACGGACUUGCAGCUAAGCGAAACCAUCGUUGAUAGUGCUAGUGGCGGCAUCUUUACCACUAUAGAUUCUGUGAGGACACUCCGACCUGAUGGAUUCAUCAAUGACGACAUUAUAACAUUGUUUGCUGACUAUCUAUGGCAAGAACGUAGAGGAGGCGAUAGCGUUUACUUUACAACCUACUUCUGUCGGAAGACGAUGUAGUAUAGUAUACAGUUAUCUUCAGGACAUGUUGUCAACGGUGUAAGUUCGAAGGAGUUGGGUGUGAGAAGAUUUGACAAUGAUAUUCCUACAUGCAAAAAGGUAUGUCACUGGUUGGCUUCGCUUGUCAGUGAGAUGAUCAAACAUAAACUACAUGUUCACGUUUAAUUAAUCUUACAGAUUUUCAUACCCAUGCACGACCUAAAACAUUGGUACCUGUUGGUGGUGCGUCCUGAUGUCCAAAUAGCUGAAGUGUGGGAUAGCUUGGGAUGUAGCAGGAGACAGAAGAAUCAGUGCAAAACCAUUGUGAGUGAUCACGUUUAUUUCUAAACAAAACAAAAUAACUAUUAUAUUGGUGUACAUGUUUCACUUCCUCAUGAAUAAGUGGAGUUCAUAUGAAACUGCACAAAAGUAAGAAAAAAUAUCCAAGCAAUAAACUAGCCGGCACAACCCACUGCUGAACUUAGAUUACACUUUCUUAUGCCAACAACAAUAAUAACUCAGUCUCAUCUAAAUAGAGUAGUUACAUCCAUAGAGCACUGGCUUGGUGAAAAUCAUCAAUAUCUAGAGAGAAUUCAGGGUCUGAAGGCCACCACCAAUAGCCUGUUGGAGGGGAAUUGGAAUUCCCGUCUUCAAAGUGAUGCAUUUCAUUUUCCCAGUAGCACAAUCCACAACUGCAUCUCUUUACGUUGUCUAGUCCAACGUUGUACAAGUGUGCGCAAGUGUCGCAUGGUCUUUUAGUAACAUCGGCUAUGUGAGUGCAAAAUCCUUCUACCGCAGCAGAACACUGAUGAGUUUGCACGGUGUUGACUUCCUUCUCCAGAACAACUUCAUGCUCCACAUCUGGUUUGGGGCUUAGUCGGUGUUGGCUUGCUUCUUCAACAUCCACCAUAGCAUUCUUUAGAACAGCUUCAUGCUCCACAACUGAUUCUUUAGAGUUAGACAUCUUUCAACGAAAAGGUUGUGGUUACUGAAGCACUCUUAUAUAGAAACGUACUAGGUGGGAAUUGUGAUUUCAAAUUGGUUCAAAUUGAUAUCAAAUUUUUUCAAGUAACCGCCAUCCACCUCAAAUUUUACGGAUCACCAGCGUGUCUUCUAUCCCAGCCGUCAAUCCUAAACCCUACUUUUCAUCUGUAUCGUACAAGGUUGAGAAACCAUAAACACUGCCCAUUGGCCCAUUAGUCCAUUGGCCCAAACCCGGAACCCUAACUUAAUAGAUCAACGUAGAUGGGAUAUUUCAAGGACGGGACCUUCCUUGAAUUACCUCAAAUGUAAUUCUUGGAGAUCUUCCAACGUAAGCACCUUCUAAGUAAAGAUAUUGUUUCCAAGUGUGACUCUUCAAUCUUAGACGUGCAUAUCACCAUAUCUCAUGUAAUCAUCAUCAGAUGCCACCAGUAAGGAAUGUAAUCCCAGUUAUAUACUUCAAAGCAAUUAGGACCUCUUUUCAUGAUAUCCUUCCUUGAUCAUGUCUUCUUAACUAGCAUGAAACACGUCCAUAUUGCCUUUUCCAUCAAAGAUCUUCCAUGCUGCUCAAUAUCGGUAACCAAACAAUCAUCCAUAAUAGUUUAAGGAAUUUUGAAUCUUUUACAAUUUAAGGGUGAGGUUGAGUCUACGUAGUCAUGAUUUUCCUAUAAAUUGCUCAGGAUUUAGGUAGACCUAUGUCAUCCAACAAGUGGACUUAUUUUACAAUUUUUACAAUUUAUGAGAUUAUAUAUGUAUUUUCCUUAUUUUUUGGAAUUUCCUAAGGUCAUGAUUUUCCUAUAAAUUUCUCAGGAUUUAGGUAGACCUAUGUCAUCCAACAAGUGGACUUAUUUUACAAUUUUUACAAUUUAUGAGAUUAUGUAUGUAUUUUCCUUAUUUUUUGGAAUUUCCUAAGGUCAUGAUUUUCAUAUACAUUGCUCAUGAUUUAGGUAGACCUAUGUCAUCCAACAAGUGGACUGACCAAUUACCCAAGACGUCUGAUCAAACCCCCAGACGUCUUAUCGAGUUGGUCACUGCUUUAUUAUUAACGCUUCAUAAACAGGGUCGACUUUUCGAAUGGGUAUUACCUUGCCUUUUCGGUUGCCUUAUAACUUCCUUUUGAGUGAAAGUUUUCCAUCAAACCGCUAUCACUCAUUGGAAUUCCAGUUUCCAGCAUACCAGAUAGUACCUUUCAAGCCAAACUUGUCAAUGGCAAACACAGCUUCCUCUCUUCCUCUGUUCUUAGCCAAGGUUAACAAAGCAGGGUUCAAUGUAACUGAAUUGGUACGAGUGCUCUUUAUCUUAUACUCCGGCUGCAUUUUUUUUUUUUUACUAAACCAUCUACCAAUCAUAAUCAUUUGUUUGACGUUGCAGGAGAUACCUUGGUCAUUUUUUGACAAAUACAUGGUCGGUGAUGUCGAAAAAAAAGGUGUUAUCCAAAAGACUGGACAGUUUCUGUGAAACGGGAUCAUGAGUGGGUUGAGUUGCGCAGAGGAUGGGGUGUAUUUGUGAACGACGUUAUACAGAACGAUUCUGAGGCCUACCUUGUGGUGGAUUACAUGGGGGACAUGCAAUUCAAGGUUAGGGCAUUUUACUCGGAUGGAAACAUUGUCGUCGACGUUCCCCUUUGCUUGAACCAUGCCUGUGGAUUUUACAGAGGACCCCGGCCUGAAUUCUUUAGGCGCGUCACCCAUGCUUCUGAGCGCCCAAUGGUAACUUUCUUCAACUUUCAUUAUUGCAUUGAAGUUCCAUUGUGGUUUGUCUUGAGAGUGUUCUUAUUAUUUUAUGCAGGUUAUUAUACACAGAUCAAUGCUCACGGACCAUUCCACAAACAACUUCUUGAUGUCGGAAUGGGUCUAUUUGAGUUUCACCUGAAGGCGGCGCCGGCGAUUAAAACGGUCGUGCAGCUUACUCGCACAAACAGAAACUAUAUUGAGUUUAGCACCGGGUGGAACACCUUUUUGGCGUUGUGCGGGAUCCAAAGUGAAGAUUUGGUCGUUUUAGAACUAGUUCCAGAUCGCAAAAUCAGUGUCUUGGCAUUCCUCCCGGAAGACAAGGGGCCCGAGGGGGCCCUUCUAACUCCUCUGCCAACAGUUGAUGCACAUGAAUCUUCGUCGGAAAAUUAUUAAAUUUUCAAAAAAUUUUAAUUGUCUUUAAUUUCGGAAAGUUAUUAUAUAUUUCGUUUAUGAACUAUAAGGACAUGUUAUGUGUUUUGUAAAACUAGCUACAUAUGAUAUUAUGUUUUUCGUUUAAGAACUGGGAACUGUUAGAACCUCUACCUUGUGUUGAUUUUGAUUUCCAGAAUGUAUGAUGAAUGAUAAUGUACACCACGUAAACAAACUAAACAGGUAGGUUAAUCUUCGUAAACAUUGUACACUAUGUUCAAAAAACAGGUAGACCCAUAUAAGCAGACCAGUUUAGAGUUGGUCUACUCGUAGUGUGAGUCAAUGCUUCGAAGAGCUAGUACACCACGUUCACAAAACAAGUAGGUUAGUGUUCGUAAAUAGGUAAAUCAUUUUGUCUCACAAAAAAAGUAGACCCGUGCUCGUAAAUAAGCAGACCAACCUUCAUAAACAGGUAGUCCUGUCAAGAAUUCUUCAAGUGUCUGUGAAUUUUGGACACUUUAGAGUUGGUCUACUCGUAGUGUGAGACUAUCCUUCGUAAACCUAGUACAUCGCGUUCACAAAACAGGUAGGUUAGUGUUCGUAAACAGGUAGACCAUUUUGUCUCACAAAAAAAGUAGACCCGCGCUCUUAAAUAAGCAGACCAGCCUUCGUAAACAGGUAGACAUGUCAAGAAUUCUUUAAGUGUCUGUGAAUUCUGGACACUUUAGAGUUGUUCUACUCGUAGUGUGAGUCAGUACUUCGUAAACCUAGUACAUCACGUUCACAAAACAGGUAGGUUAGUGUUUGUAAACAGGUAGACCAUUUUGUCUCACAAAAAAAGUAGACCCGUGCUCGUAAAUAAGCAGACUAGUCUUCGUAAACAAGUAGACCAUUUUGUCUCACAAAAAAGUAGACCCGUGCUCAUAAAUAAGCAGACCAGUCUUCGUAAACAGGUAGACCUGCUAAGAAUUCUUCAAGUGUCUGUGAAUUCUGGACAUUUUAGAGUUAGUCUACUCGUAGUGUGAGUCAGUACUUUGUAAACCUAGUACACCACGUUCACAAAACAGGUAGGUUAGUGUUCGUAAACAGGUAGACAAUUUUGUCUCACAAAAAAAGUAGACCCACGCUUGUAAAUAAGCAGACCAGCCUUCGUAAACCAGGUAGACCUGCCAAGAAUUCUUCAAGUGUGUGAAUUCUGGACACUUCAGAGUUGGUCUACUCGUAGUUUGAGUCAGUGCUUCGUAAACCUAGUACACCACAUUCACAAAACAAGUAGGGUAGUGUUCGUAAACAGGUAGACCAUUUGUCUCACAAAAAAAGUAGACCCGUGCUCGAAAAUAAGCAGACCAGUCUUCGUAAACAGGUGGACCUAUCAAGAAUUUUUCAAGUGUGUGAAUUUUGGACACUUUAGAGUUGGCCUACUCGUAGUGUGAGAUUGUCCUUCGUAAACCUAGUACAUCGCAUUCACAAAACAAGUAGGUUAGUGUUCGUAAACAAGUAGACCAUUUUGUCUCACAAAAAAAGUAGACCCAGGCUCGUAAAUAAACAGACAGCCUUCGUAAACAGGUAGACCUGUAAAGAAUUCUUCAAGUAUCCGUGAAUUCUGGACACUCUAGAGUUGGUCUACUCGUAGUGUGAGUUAGUGAUUCGCAGCACAAGUACACCACGUUCACAAAACAGGUAGGUUUGGCUACGUAAACAGGUAGACCAUUUUGCUUCACAAAAAAAGUAGACCAUUUCUCGUAAAUAAGCAGACCAGGCUUCGUAAAUAGGUAGACCUCUCAAGAAAGUACACAUAAUAAAGUAGUUAAUAUGUUGUAAUAAAGUACACAUGUCAUGUGAAUAAUGUACACAUAAUAAAGUAGUUAAUACAUAGUAAUAUAGUACACAUCGUAUGUGAGAGGAUGAGGUUUUACAAUAAGGAGACAUAGGUUCUACCAACGGCUACGGCGGACACUUUCUGUUGCGAGGUUUUACAGUUCCGUGCACUUGUGGUUUUCCGUUUGUGUUGCUCUCGGUCGGUUCAAUCUUCACUUGCUUCAGGACUUGUACAUUCUUUUCGCACUCCUCAGUCUCUUAAUUGUUCUGAGGCUCUUCAAUCUUGUUUUCCAGUUUCUUAUUCUGUAAUCUUUUUUUGAUGUUUCUACACAUCAUUUGCCAUCUGCUGUUGUAUCUGUUCCUUAUCAAUUUCAAGGUUAGCUAUUUGCGAACCUCUUUUGAGUUAUACUGCAAUGCAUAAAUUUCAAUGAAGUUAAUGCCCAUGCCACUCAUUACCAUUCAAAUUCUCUAGUACAAAUGAAAAACAUACCUCAGUCCAUCACUCUUCAUCAUACUGCUCCAUGUGUUUGAUUGUAAAGAUCCCGCAGUCAUCAGUACCCUCUUGUUUGGGACAUUGUGGCGGCUUAAAAAUGGGAAAAUCUUCAAAUUUCUUAGUCUUCUUCACAAGAUGGCCGAAAAUAAUGUCAAAGACAUUCAACUGUUACAUCAUGACAGAAUAACCAUGCAACUGAGUAGACAAUGUUGCUGGGAUUAUGAACACAAAAGGCUUCGUGUGACUUACAAUAUCUUUGCAGUGAUCCUUGCGUGAUUUUUUGUCUCAAAGGCUAACCCAGUAUUCUCCUGUCUCGUUAUCUAUACACACAACAAAGACAUACCAAUGAUCUGAGUCAUGGAUUGGUAUGAACAUCUGUUAAAAAAAAAAUUCUUAAUGUCAGACAUCAUACAAAAUCCAAAUAUCACUCAACCCUAUUGAUUAUAAAAACAACUGCAAACUAACCUUUUUGCAAUGAGGAAGGUAUUUACUGUAACUUUUUACCCACAUUUUCUUUGGUGUAGGAACUUUUCCUACCGGUUUUUCAUACGUACAAUAUGAUUUUAGCUUGUUGCUGAAAAAAGUGUGGAAAUAAACAUUGUCGCCAGUGCUACUUGCAAGUAGAUAAGAGGCAAAUAUGGUCACAACCUCAUCGUUAAGCCAUGUGUUCGGUAGGAGAGUCCUUGCCCUCUUACAACUCUGACCAUUGCACUCAACAAGAAUCAAUUCACUGCCAACUCCAUUAUAAACAUAAUCCAGGACUGCUUCGUCAUCCACAUCCAUGAUAACAUCAAUCUUAAACUCCCUAACCUUCUGCUUCUCAACAUAAACAUUCUUGCAGGGGGCCUCCUUCUCAACAUUCUUGCAGGAGUCAGUAAGAUCAAUUAUUUUUUCUUCUUCCCUCUGUUUCUCAACAUUCUGGCAUGAGGCUUCCUUCUCAACAUUCUUGCAGGAGUCAGUAAGAUCAAUUAUUUUUUCUUCAUCCUUCUGUUUCUGAACAUUCACCCAUGAGGCCUCCUUCUCAACAUUCUUGCAGGAGUCAGUAAGAUCAAUUAUUUUUUCUUCAUCCCUCUGUUUCUCAAUAUUCUGGCAUGAGGCUUCUUUCUCAACAUUCUUCCCCAUCUCAUAAGUUUGUGAAACCUUACUCGGUUUAAAGAUAUACCUACAUGGACUGAUCACCGAUGAUUCAGAUGAAAUAUCCACGGGUGUUGAAUUCUUUGCCGGCAGCUCCGGUGACACCUAAAAGGAGGAUCAAUGUAAAUUUUAUGUAAAUUUAGGUGAAUUACUAAGCACACAAUUAUGAGAAGGCAAAUAAUCCACAUAGGAAAGAAACAACAACUCAUACCUACCCAAAUAAUACACAGAAACAUGACACUCCCCUGUAAAAGUAGACUUCAACAACUAUGUUUGUAGACCAAAUAAGUUGUCAACUUGUCAUGUUAGCACACAUUUUCGCUGUUACAAUAGCCAGUUUCUGGACAUAGAAUUCAACCUAUAAUUAUUACAGACAUGCUUAUAAGUUAUAACAUUCAAAAGGAGAUGUUGUGAGUGUCACAUCCCGACCCUUAUAUUUUCACCUUAUUUACUAGCCUGAUUAUAAUAAGAAUUUUACCGUCUCGAUCAUUGAGUAAAUAGUUUAAUUGGUCCCUAGAAGGGUUUCGGAGACGAUUAUGUGCGGAGGAUUAUUAGUAUGAGGAAAAUACGACGACGGUAAAAAUGGUAAAUUUUAGCUAGUAAAAGGUAAUUUUUAUUCGGGUUAUUAUUUUUCGGGUUGUUUUAUUUUUNNNNNNNNNNNNNNNNNNNNNNNNNNNNNNNNNNNNNNNNNNNNNNNNNNNNNNNNNNNNNNNNNNNNNNNNNNNNNNNNNNNNNNNNNNNNNNNNNNNNNNNNNNNNNNNNNNNNNNNNNNNNNNNNNNNNNNNNNNNNNNNNNNNNNNNNNNNNNNNNNNNNNNNNNNNNNNNNNNNNNNNNNNNNNNNNNNNNNNNNNNNNNNNNNNNNNNNNNNNNNNNNNNNNNNNNNNNNNNNNNNNNNNNNNNNNNNNNNNNNNNNNNNNNNNNNNNNNNNNNNNNNNNNNNNNNNNNNNNNNNNNNNNNNNNNNNNNNNNNNNNNNNNNNNNNNNNNNNNNNNNNNNNNNNNNNNNNNNNNNNNNNNNNNNNNNNNNNNNNNNNNNNNNNNNNNNNNNNNNNNNNNNNNNNNNNNNNNNNNNNNNNNNNNNNNNNNNNNNNNNNNNNNNNNNNNNNNNNNNNNNNNNNNNNNNNNNNNNNNNNNNNNNNNNNNNNNNNNNNNNNNNNNNNNNNNNNNNNNNNNNNNNNNNNNNNNNNNNNNNNNNNNNNNNNNNNNNNNNNNNNNNNNNNNNNNNNNNNNNNNNNNNNNNNNNNNNNNNNNNNNNNNNNNNNNNNNNNNNNNNNNNNNNNNNNNNNNNNNNNNNNNNNNNNNNNNNNNNNNNNNNNNNNNNNNNNNNNNNNNNNNNNNNNNNNNNNNNUUGCGGCAUGCAUUUCGAUUUUUUCCUUAGAAAUUAAUGGGGAAACAUAAAUAUUUUAUUUAUUAUUUUAUUUUUGUCCACUCACUCUGACGUUAUUAAAUGUUUUCCCCUGGGCCCUUCGUUUUAAAUUGCCCAGUCUGCAGAGUUCGGGUUGGAUCUAGUAGGAGACGAGGCAUAGUCACCCGCUUUUCGGCCAGUUUUCGCCAGUAGGUUACCUGUUCAACCUACUCGUAUUUUCUUGAUUCCGCUUGUGUUUAGUAGCUCUGAAUACUUUAGAAUUUUUGUAUAUUAUGUGAUGUUCAGAAGUGUAAUAUGAAAUUUUCGAGUUAGGGUUGUCCAUCUACAAGGGAGAUUUUCUUAAUCUUUUCAGUAAAUUUUCCUUGGAGGUGGUCCCCGCACGACUUAUUCUGGGUUUCAGGGUGAAAUUCAGGGUGGGUCGUGUCAAACAAUGUGUCUCUAAUUCUCCACUCUCUCUUCCUCCCUUCCCUUUAUUCACUUGAAGCAACAUCUAUUUAUAGGGCAACAAUGAUCUUCAUUCAAUUUCAACUCCAUGUGAAAAUGAUUCUCCAUUUCUCAAACUUCUCAAGUUUGAUAGCUAAAGUCUCCAUCCAUAAAUGCUUCCAUACAUAGCUUCAUUCUCUCAUUUUUCAUGUGAAUGAAGAGAAGAUACGUACAUAAUCUUUGAACAAUUGAAGAUUUAGUUCCUAGAAUCAUGCUUGCUUGCUUGCUUCUUGCCUCCUUGUUUCAUGGCAUAUGUCCUUGGAAAUUCUUCAUACUCUCUUCUGUUUGUAUCAAUGCAUCUAUAUACCUAUGAAUCAAACAAGCAAAAGUGAAUUCAACAAUGGAUGCCAUGGUAAUAUUUCCACACAUCACACUUAAUGCAUGAGAAAAUAAUCCACCAAUUUAACACAUGCAUAUAUGCAUACAAGCUACUAGAAUAAGAAGAACAUGUGUUGCAAUUAUUCAUCUAAUUAAAGGGAAAAAGACUCAUGUUAAAACAAAGACUCAAUUUACUAUAUGAAAAUAGGUAAAUUGCUACUAUAACUUUAACAUUCUAUUUAUUUAGACAAAACAUCUAUAAGAACACAAAAGCAAACUAAACAACUCAUACUAAUUAAAACAAGUAACUAACACAUAUAAAUCAGGGAUAAUAAUAUGAUAUAAAAUGUGCUCAUCAAUACUCAUACUACUUGCAUUUCAAUAGGUGAAUUUGUGAUAUAGAGAACAUAGUGACUUCCGAAAUUGAAAGGUGUUAUGUACCUUCUGGAAUUUUACCAUAUACCAUGAACUGAUGUGAAAGCAAUGUCUUCCCUGGCUUUGAUAAGCAUGAUCGAUCACUCAUAAUAGAUAUCUGGCAACUCUGAAAUUAAUCUGUCUAGGUAUAUAUACUUUGAUCUGCAUGCACAUGUUGGAUCGAUUUACAUUGUAUGACAAUUCAAUAUUUCAGGCUUUAAUCAUGUUAUGUUCGUCAUUGUGGCAUUUUGAUUAAAUCUGUUUCAUCUGCAUUGUACCAGAGUACUUCCGAUGAUGCAUUUAACAGAUUUUCCAGAAAUGAAGGUGUUUGGUCAUUUGAUAAUACAAUCACUUUUUCCUGAGUUAAGUCGCAGUUCAAGUGGAAAUGAAACAGGUAGAACACUAAUGAUGUGCAAAUCCUAUUCGCAACGAUCAUUGCCUCACUUUUGUUUGUUUGUUAUUGCUUCUGUUGUUUUCCCAUGUAAUGUAAUAAAUGUAUUUGCAAUAUAUUAUCUUUCCUUUUCAUAUAUGUUUGAGAUGUGAUUACGAUUCCUGGUUCAUAGUAAAAUAAGUACAUUAUUGCAUAUUUCUACAUCAUCCAUAUUCUGAAAAUUUAUUAUAAGAUUUACACCACUAGGAAUGAUAUGACACCUCUUUCACUUUGUCCGUUUUGAUUACCCUGAAAAGACUGAGUCCAAUCACAGUGAUUGUCAAAAAAUUUCUAGCCCGUAGCAACGCGCAGGUGAUUGACUAGUGUUUGUUCUAUUAGAGGUUAUUACUCAGCUUAAGAUAAUUUACAAGUUUAUGAACAACUUGUUGUCGUUGUAACAACUUAGUAAUUUGGUUCAAUUAUAUGUAAAUGUGUAAAACAAAUGUAGUAAUUUUGUUGUCAAUGUUGUAAAUUUUACGCAUUUAACUUGUCAUUUUUGUUCUAUUAGUGGUAAAAUGAGUAUUUGGUGUACAUGCUAGUAACGUAGACCCUAGAAAUGAAUAGGCUUUCUGCAAUGUGCUCUCAGUUAUCUUUCAAUGGCAAGAUUGUAUAUCACGUACACUAGAAAAUGCAGGACCCCUUAUUUAUACAUAGUAAACCGGAUAAGUCACUCACCAACACCUCAAAGGCGAUCGAAUUCUAAUCCAACAUGUUUACAUUAUCUUCUAUCAUCAAACUCUAAUAAUCGCCAUUUUCUCUGAACUCACUACUAACCAAUUUCGAGACUAAAGAUAUUCCUCAUGGAUCAAUGAAGUACCAAGUCCAGAUCUCAGACUCGACCCAGAUCCACCCUCAUACAAAUAGACGACUAUAAGUUAGUAAAAGCCCAAAAGGUGAUCACCCAAAUCAAACUCCAAAACUUAUGUCAAUCAUGAAACAAUUUCUAUUUAGGGAUAUAUAGCAUUGCAUUGAAAGGGAUAGUCGUUGGUAUAAUUACGUCAAGUAUGGGUUUGUUUACUCCCCUAGGUGCCCUAGGUGGUGACACCCAUUUUAUUUAUUUUUAGUUCAUAAUGCACCAUAAUUGAUUGGCAGCCAGAGUAGACAAAGAUGUGAACAUGAUUCUUCACUCCUAACUCUCACAUGAUCACCAACAAAAUUGUCCCAACCAGGUCACCAGAACAAUCAUAUAAUAGUCCCAAUCAUAUGAUAGUGCAUAAGAAAAAGCUGGAAGAACCAAGCAGACCUAGCUAGUGCAUUUUUUAUAUACAUCUUAGAGCAUUACAUGAGUUCCACUAAUCACUACUACGAAUUCCAAAUUGCCUGUUUGCUAGCAUGUAAUGCAUAGAAGAGAAUAAAUAGUUCAUAGUUCAGGUUAUAAAAUCUACACUGACAAUAAGAAGUAAAGGAUCACAAGAACAGUUCCAAACAACACUGGCCCUCUGUUUGAGUAACUAAAGCUACUAUCACUCGUUUCUGGUGCACCUUCCGGGACUGUAGCAGCCUCAGGUGGGCAGGUUCCGUAGCUCACAUUCGCCUGCGACAACAUGAGAAUACAUUAUCAGCAGACAUAGGUAAUACUUGCUGUUCAGAUUGAUCUUGCUGAUCUGACAGCAUGAAAUAAAAAUUGUGGGAAGCUGCUAGCUCACCUUGCAAUCGGCGAUGCUUGCACACCCGCAAACUAAAUGACCAUUUACCACAUCUACAGCUUUAGGAGCACCGCCACCAUCGCUUCUCUAAAUUGAUUGAUUACGGAAAAUGAAAUAAUCAUAUAAGAAUGAGCUGAGCAUCUGCCUAACUUCUAAGUUAACUACUAUCUUUCUAGUCCGACUUAUAUUUAUUGAUUUUAAAAACAAUCAUUCAUACCUUGUAAAAAUCAACGGCAAUGAAGUUAGGCCAUCUUUUACCAGCCACAUUGUAACAGGUAUUAACCAUGUUAAGCAACGAAUCUGAAUUAUCUUUGCAAGAUUGAGGGAGGGUUGGGGUAUCUCGGAAAUAGUUCACUAGGACUAAUGAUCUCGUUGUUGUGUUCAUGGCUGAUGAUUCCGCACGGUUUGGACAUGAUCCGGCUUUCAUGCCACCAUUUCCAUCUAUAUAUUUCAGUUCCAUCAAAAUUGUAUCUAAUUUUGCUUAAAAAUAAUAAUAAUUACAGAAACAAAGAGAACCACUUGUAAGAAAAUUGGAAGAGAUCAAUUAAAAAGGGGGACUCACAUUGGUUUUCUACCAUAUAACUCCACUGGUAAGCAAUGCCUUCAUCAGCCUCUUUUCUUUGCUUGGAAGUGAAGACUAGCAAACGCUGAUUUUUCUGGAUCAUAUCAGCAACUGUUGGCCAAUCUCCACCCCUUUUGGGCAUUCUUGAAACUGGAAACCAGAAUUUUCUCAAACCAGCAGCAUCAAACACUUUUGUCAACCCCUUUGGUGAUGUAACAUAGUCUUCAAUUAUAAUCGUCACAAUCUCAGACGGGUUUGCUUCAAGAAAUGCCGUAAUUUCUUUUAGUUCUCCAAUGGCAGGUUGCUGAUACAUAAAUAAGAUCAUGCAAGAUUAGAACGUGUUAUGGAGUGAUUUUAGCUCUCCAGUUUCACUGUUUCAUACUUCACUUCUAUCGACUUAACAGUUCAGAUGUAUAGAAACGCAUGUGGUGCCAAAUCACUAUAUAUGUUUUCAAAAACCAACCUUUAAAUAUAUCUAUAAUAAGCAAAGAAGUGAAUAUAUAGUUAACCAGGAUUCUGAUAAAUGUAUCAAAAUAAUUUCAUUCAUUCCAAACUCUGCAUAUAUACACUCACAAAAGCUGUGUAGUUGUAGCAUUGGCCACCGUACGAGUGACAUAACCAAAUGUCACCUAAAUAGUCAUACAUGUCCAACAUUAAGCCUCUAACACCAUUCUGCAAGAUGAUCAUACAACUUUGUAAACAUAUCUCAUAAUUUUGAAGUGAAACAAGAGAUCAACUGAUGCAGGUAAACUGGUAAAGUACAUGGAAUGCAGAAUAUUAAUUAUUUAUCCUCAUGGCAAUAAUUAUUUAUUUAUUCCAAUUAUAGAAAUGAUUAUUAAUAUUGGAUCACCUAUCUGAUUCCCUCGUUCCUUUUAAGGUCAAUAUAUAUAUGACUCCCCUCAUGGGUCAUAUGUUUAUUGUUAGACAGAUGCUUAUAAGGUUUGCUUGUAUUAUAAAGCAAGCAUGCUAGGUGCAUUUUGCAAGUAGUUAUCAUCAUCAUAUCAUAAUAUUAGUUUUUUUUUUUUUUCCGUAUCAUCAUCAUCGUCGAUUUCAUACUAUGAAUAUUCAUUAUAAGUAUAUGCUUGUUCCCUUCGUGCUCAAUUAGAAAAUAGAGGAACAAGAGGAAGAGGAAAUUAUCAAAGUCAAAACACACCUAAUCCAUAACAAUUUGAUCUUAAUUAAAGAAGUAGGUAAAAAAGUCGAGUCCUCAAGACUUGCCUAUCCAUCCUUCUACGGUUGUACAAGCAUAAAAAACAUGAUAUACUUGCUGGUAAGCCAAGACCGCAACACUUUUUUUGCUUCUUUCUUUAGAAGUGCAUUUGAAGCUGAUCAUAGUUUCAUGAGUUCAUCUUCAUUCUCCAGUUGUUACGUAAUCCUAAGUACCUAAAUUAUAGAGUUAUGCUAGUUUAAGUAACCUACAUGUACGUGUGUGGAUGAUUUUGAAAUGUAGAUGAUAGUGAGAUUUGCAGAUGAGUCAAAUUCAGCAGUUGCUGGAAAUCAUGAGUAUCACAUUGAUACAAAGACCAACACAAAUAUUGGGGAGGUUAUUCCAACUUGUAUGAAUACCCUUCAAUGCUUAUAAUUAGGACCAAGAUAUAACCUAGCUCGAACCAUUAUUUCAAUGUGUAUAAGGAAUCCUACUGCAUCUGCAGCUACCCAAGCCUCCAUUUUUAUUAAGUGGCGUCCAAUUUUUGCCAAGCUAUCAAUUUCAAUAUUUAUUGAUGUACAAAUCUGACUAGGAGGCCAACAACCACGUUCAACAAAAGAAAAAAACUACCAAUUAUCAUUGCGAUCAUGGUCCAAGGCUGUUAGGAUUUAUUCUUAAAAGAAAAACGAUGUUUGGAUUCAAAACAUACUAAUGGUUUAUAUUCGAAAUAUGAUAUAAAUGUUAAUCUUGAAUCCAGAAUUCCGGAGUCCAGACUCGUCCAAUCUUCUAAACUUGUUAGAAAUGUUAACAAUGUGUUUAUUUGUCGUGCGAGUCUCGGCUUUCUCCCACUUCCACAUAAAUCAUUUUCAUCUCCUAAUCUGUUUUUCACUCAAUUAUUCAUGCAUUGCUUGGUGUUUUCUGAUAGGUUGGGUUUGGUCUUUUUCCAACUAUAGUACAAGCCUGUGUGCUUUUGAUGAAUAUCAUCAGUAACAUCAUACAAGCAAAAAAAGAUAAAAGAUAAAAGAUAAAAGAAAAAAAAUUGUGUGUGUUUGUUCUUCCCGAGAAAAAACACAAGGAAAAAAAAAUAUAUAAUUUGCAGAAAAGUAAAGAAGAUAAAGAACGUACAUUGAGCUGAUCGGUAAUGGAGUCCUGCUGGUUCGUCGGAGCCAAAAUCACAGAUUUCGUGGCCGACUUCUGCCCGAGUAUCGCAAACGAAUUGUGGGUUGUUAACCAAGAAUACUUGUUAAACGGCAGCGUUUUCACCUGUUCCAAGUUGCCACACCAUUACUGAACAGGCUACAAAGGACAUGCUAAGAGCCAAAGCCAAAGCCAAAGCUGAAGAUUAGAAUCGGGUAAAUUACCUCAGAUAUUGGACUUGUGGGUUUUACCCUCGUGCACUUUGGCACAAAAUUGUUGUCUGCAACGCAAGUCUCGCAGUGCAAUCCUGCGUCGCAGUCACUGUUCUUGAUGCAUUUCUGUCCCUCCUGGAAAUAGCAGAGAAAACAGAGCAAAAAUGAUGGUUGGUGUUGGUUUUAGUUGAUGAAAAAUGUGAAAUUUGAGCAAAAACUGAAAUGGGUUUUCAGUUUUGAUGCUUUUGGAUGAAAAACUAAUGAUUACACAGAGCGAGGUACCUUGCGGGCUGAAGAAACAGGAAGGAAACAAAGCAAAGAAAACAGAGUUGCAAUGAGCACGAGUCUCUGCAAGGGAAAACCAAAGAUGGAUUAGUAAGCCAUACACGAAGAAGAAGAAUGAAGGAAAGAAGAUGAUGAUUAAGAACAAGUUGAUUACCUGCUCCAUUGCAGAGAGAAUAACAAGUUCAAUGAAAAUUUCCCUCACAGAAACCUAACCAAACAAAAACAGACUGAAGAAAACAAAUAUAUAGAGGUAGAGCCCAAAACCCAGAACUACCGCCGUGUAGCAAUGUGAAUUGGCUUGGGGGGGGGGGGGGGGGGGGGGGGGUUGUCUCAGAAACCAGUAUCCAAAAGUUCUUAUAUGACUGGUUAGGUUUGGUCCCACGCAUCAUCUUCCCUCUGAGAAAUUCAUACAUGAACACAUGCAAUAUAAUAAAAGCUGCCGAGUUGAAUAUAAUAAAAGCUGCCGAGUUGACGACACGAGAGUUGGUACUUUUGGUAGCAUACACAAAUCGUGUUUAUUACCAGUCAAAUUCCCUUUGGGGUUUUUUCGUGGGAACAAACUAGCAAAGGCUAAUGUUAAUUUUUAUCGAAAAAAAAGGUUAAUGUUAAGCUUUAUAGAUAUCAACUUUUAUUUCAAAAAAUGUAGAUCUUAAUUUUCGAUUGACCAGGAGGAUGAUAAUUGUUAUCGUUGCACAAGUUGCGAGUUCAAAUUUUUAGAAUGUCAAUCAUAUCAUGAGAUAGGGGUGUGGAUGAGGAUUUCCAAAAGGAAGCUAUGCCAAAUUUUGAAAUGAACAGAUCGACCCAUCUGAUUUGUCAUGCAAAAAUUUUCUUCUUUGUUGGUUGAUUACAAGGGCUUGGACAGACCAAUGUCUCCACAAGUCCUUCAAGCUCAAGCAAAACCACAUGAAUGAAAUGAUGAGAAACCUAUUUAAUCGACUACUAAUUUAACCUCUAAAGUUUCUUCAUGAGAAGAGAGUCUCAGGAGGAUAAAUGUAUAUAUAAACUCAGAUAACACAAGUAAGACAUGCUUCUAGUUCUAUGGAAUCCAAAGCAGCCGGUGCUCGUAGGCGCAUCCAUAGAUGUAGGUGGAAUGAACAAUGGAUCACUUGGGGUCCUAGCCGGAAAAAACAUGUCCAGACCUAAAAUGACCCUUCUCACUGUACCAAAUGCAAACGAGAUUACGGGGUAUAAGGUUGGCCGGGAUUGGAGCAGUUAGGGUUUAGGGUUGCAGUGCUAUAGCUCCGCUACCGGAAAAUAAGUUCACGAACGACAGGGCUGCAGGGCAACUCAUGCAUGGCCGACUGGUUGAGCGGGAGUUGAGCUCAUAUCUAAUCUUCUUCAAGUGAGUGUGGGGUGAGGUAAGAGCAUUCUUAAGUGCAUGUAUACUACUCCUACCUUAGCUAUAGAAACUAUGUUGGAUAAUUUUACUUUUGAGAUUUUGAUAUAAGUUUGUAAAAAUUAAUUUGCAUGAGCUGAAUGGAGAUAUGAGAAUCUAAAAUACAAGCAAGUUAACAAAACAAUAAAGAUGAAUAAAUUAGGAGAAGAAGGUAGUAUAGAACUAUAGAAGAAAGAUUACAUUUUAUUCAAGAUUUGAAGUUACAUACAUUGGUCGGGCACCCACACAUUCAUAUUUUUUUAAAAUAACAUGUCAUUUAAAGUACCGCGCACACAUUAUUUUUUACUAAAAAGCAAAUGAAUAGUUAUUUAUGUGCUCAACACAUGGCUUCGUAUAACUCUCAUGUGUACUAGUACAUGGUAGUGCUAGCUUGCAUCCCCUCAUGGAGUCAUGGUUGGUGGUCAUAUGCACACUAUUACUUAUUAUACAAAAUACAUAAUAAUGGAAUUUAGCUGCAUGCGAUAUUACUCUUUUACACCCGAUAUUCACUCUCUUAUUAGUGUCCCGCCUCUCUAAUUAUUUGUUUAUUGAAUUUGAAUCACAUUGUGGAAUCAUCAAAUAUGUCCUUAAGCUAAAGACUAUAGUUCUUCCCUACUUCCCUUCUCUCUUAGAGUGUUUGCUCGAAGAUCACUCGAAGAAAUAAAUAGGUGUUUGCUUGAAGCAGCUUUCUUUCUUUAGAAAUUUGUAACGUAUAAGUAUCAAUAAGUUUGCCAAAUAUUGUUCCUAAAAGAGAACCUUAGUCUCACAAGCGAUGUUGCUUCAUCAUCGCUAGUGUAGUAACAACAACAUAGACGCAUGUUUAAAUUUCUCUUUCGUACUCCACAAUUGGUCGUCAAAAGCAUGCAACUAGCUAGUCUACAAUUCAAUUCCCAUUCUAGAAAAUUGUGUUGUUGUACUAAUUAACAAAUUCGGAAAGUCACUUUUUUUUUUUGGUUUUUUUUUGUAAAUUUAGAAAGUCACAUUUCAAUGUCUAAAAAACUAAAUUUUAGUUAAACGAUUACUGUAAUCUAAAUUCUGGAACACUAGUUUGUACUUAUUGAUUCUAAAGAAGAGUGCAAGCAAUUUCCUGAUUUUUUUAUUUUUAUUUUUAUUCAAGAUCGCAGUAUCUCAAAUGCUUUCUAAGCCCAAAGACUAAUUCGUUGAAGGCCCGAACAGGUAGCAGAGCAUUGCAGCCCCUCCCUUAGCCACUUUUAACAGUGUCGUGGUUCGAACCUAGGUUGGGGAGCACACCCAAUUAGGCAAGAAUCAUUAGACUACCUUGCAAUUUUCCCGAAACUUAACAUGGUGGUAAACACAAAAAGUGUCGUCAUUUAGUCACACAUUCAUAAAUUUGUAUAUAAAAUACCACGGUGCAUAGGGAACAUGUGUUUAUAUAUGUUUCACACGAGAUAACAUGGCUAUAUUAGUUUUGAACGGGGACUCAUUAAUUUGUAUAUCAAGCUAUAAACACCUUUUUUUUAGGGAAAUUGAGAUAAUUCCAGUUGGCAUAGCCAAUAUGUACAACUAGUGAAACGCUUGGUCAGAUAGAACUCCUUUACAAGCUCAGAGAUCCCUUAUUUGACUAAAACUAAAAAACUAAAGUCCAAAAAGACUGACAAUCCAACACAACAACUAAAAGAAGGAAAAAAAACAGAAAAUCCUCUACUCUUGAAGAGCAUGACGCCUAAGACUUUCAUUGAUGUACGUUUCCACUCAUCAGAUCAGUGAACAACUUCAAACUAGCAGCCAUAUAGGUUAGAGAUGUCACUCCCACAAAAGUCCAAUCAUAGGUUAAGCCCACAUGGAGAAAGAAUGAGGAAAUUAAUUAAGGAACAAAGCCCCAUCACACUAGCCCACACAAAUGCAGCUCAGCAAGACAAGGCCCAAAGCCCAACCUACCCCUCAUCUAGCCCAGUUAGCUCGGCCUGAGACGACUAUCGUUGGAGCUUCUGACCGACAGAUCAGUCCGGUGGUCGUCCAGAUUUGAGGCUCAUGAUGUCGCCGCCGCAAAGAACUGCCAAGCAGAAUCAAACUACCACCACCGCUGAGAUGUAGACCUUCCUCCGCUCUCUUUCACAACUUCUAGGCUACCAGAGAUUAGAGACCUUUGCCUCAAAGCAGCCUUCCUCACCUUCGCAACCCUCUACUUGCUCCGCCUCGCGCGUCCCUGCGAAACAGAUCCGGGAAAGAAUCACUCGUCGACGUCGUACAAGUAACUCAUCGUCGCCUCCCAUGUCACCGACCCAAAUCAAUGAACCGAUCAAACUCCACCACCUCCUUCGCUUGCCGACAAGGCUCAGUGCCAGAGACGCCUUGUAGCAAGCAGAUGACCCGUCGGGUCGCCGCCGCUGUGCUUCACGAAACCUAGGUUUGGGUAUUAGGCUCCGGGAGAAGUGGAGCUAAUAGUUCCAUCAAACUCCACUCUUUAUGUGACACAAAUUCGUAAAAGCAUUUCACAUUAUUAUUUUAGUACGAAGCAUACUAUUUCAUAUUCGACCAAAAAUAAAACUUAUUAUUUUAUUACCUUCCCAAUAAUAAAAAACAUAACAACGAGAGUGUUCCUCAAUUUAUUUGUCAAAAGAUAGAGGGUUAAGAAACACCAUCAUGAUUUUCUUCAUGCCAACUAAACAAAAAUCAUCAACCUUCUCUAUGACAAAUCAAAAUAUCAUCAACUUUGCAUUGUUGUCUACGAAACACUAUUAAAGUUGAAAAUUUAGCAAAGUAAUUUUAUCUUCAGAAAAAGGUCAAAACCCCAAACACCAAAAAAGAAUAUUGACAUAUUGAAGGCCGAAAACGAACCGUCCUUUGGAAUUUGAAGAAGUUCGUGUACUCCUCAAAUAAUGUCAGGCCACCAGCAUGAGAUGAUUGUACUCCUCAAACAUUAUAUUGGACCACUGCUACUAACAAUUUACUAUAUACCAACAUUAAUAUUUUGUUUUUUCAGAUGGAAACAUUUGUUUUUUUUUUUUUUUUCGGUCAAAGCAAAGAACAUCACAAACUGAAACAUCUAAAGAAGAUUACAAGAACAUAUGCUAUUGUUUUCUUUUAGAUGGAAACAUUUGCUAUGGUUUUCUUUCGAGCUAUAAUAGGAGAACAGCUUUAUUGCUCUUCUUCUAGUGUUGAAGAAUUUUAUCAGUCCUUGACCAAGCUAUCAAACAUUAAUCUGUACACAACAGUUUGCUCUUAUGAUGAAUAUAUUUUAUCUAAGUCGAUCGUAAAUUUUAUAGUUAAACAACGGUAUGUUUUGAAUUACAAAUUAGAUUUAUCAAAAUGAUCGAAUGAUGCAUUUGAUACUGUAAUUAAUAAUUUUGAUUAUGUAGACCGUAGUGUGCGUAUUACAACAUCAACUCCUUGUAAAACUAUUUAGUCACAAAUUUAAAAUGUAACAUGUUAUUUGUUUAAAAUGAGAACGAUCAAAACUAAUUACACUAUCCUGAAUUCCUCUAAAAGGAAACAAUAUCUUGGAUUAGAUUGGGGUACAAUAUGUAAUUGUUCUUUGUAAAACUCUUUCUAUUUAUCAAAUUUGAUGCAGAAAACAUGCUACAUGUCACAUUCAUAGUUUAUUGAGGGUAUAAUGUAUCCUAUCUUAGUUAUCUGGGUCCCCUACUCCCCAGAAGACCAUGCACAGUGACACCCACUAUUACUAUAAAUUUCUGUUAAAAACUAAAAAUGAGAAAAUGAAAGAAUUUGAUUCCAGAACUUGGGGCGGGCCCCAAAUCUAGUACACUCCAGAGUCAAACAAGACUUCUCUCUCGCCCUCUCUCUCUCUCUCUCUCUCUCUCACAUGCUUCACUCGCACAGUGCUCACAGCCUUCGUUUUUAUGGUUCCAAUGUGCUAACACACUCGGUCGUCGUUUCUUCCCGAAACCCACUUCAACCCCACCUCUCUUUCUCUCUCGCUCAGCCCAGCUUUCCCUCUUCUUCUCCACCAUGGUGGUUUACAGACUCGGAUGUCUUCUGGGUUUCCUUGCUUUUAUUGGACUGCAGCUAAUCCCUCUAGCAAUGGCUGGUUAGUAUAUUUUCUGGGCCACACUUACAUUCUUGUUUCUUAUAUCUCUGCUUUGGUUUGGUUCUUGUUAUUUGGUUUUUGCUUUGUAUGUUAUGUCUUUCAGUGUGAUUGAAGAGAGCCUGCAGAUGUUUAGUUGUUUAUUAUUGGUGUUGUGCUUUGUUUCUUUUUCCCUUCUCAUUGAAAUUUCAUGUUUUGGGUGCUUUUGGAUAUUUACUGUUGUAUGUACUACUUCUGGAGAUGGGUCUAUUCCAAGUCCUCGACUUUUCUGAUUUUAAGGCAACCCGUGAGUUCUAUAAUCUUUUUCAUAUCCUAUUAUAUUUUGCUGUGAUUAUCAAUGGUGUCUUACUGUCUUUUAUGGAAUGUAUGACUUCCUGGGGUGUUUGGAAUUAGACAAGCUCAUUGCUUUGAUGGUGGUCCUAGAUGUAAUUUGCUUCCUGUGUGUUUAAGUGUUCAGCUCCUUGUUGUGAGUUUCUUCGUUUCAGCUCAAUGGACGUUUCAGAAUAUUAUUUUUUCUUCUUCUCAAAGUUGCAGUUUUUCCAUAGUAGUUCAUAACCAAAGUGGUGGACUGCAACUGGGUCUUUGUAGUUUGAGUAACCUCUCUGGUUUCAGUAUUAUUGUUGUCUCGCUGUAGUAUCUUAUAUUUGUCUAUCACUAAAAAUUAAAGGCUGUAUCUUAUAAGUAAUGUGCUUAUGUGUGCUUGCUUGGUGUUGCAUCCUAUACGUGAGCAUGAUCGAGGAUUGCAUCAAUGACAAGUGAAUGAACAUUUAUGUUUUCGUUUUCUUUUCAAAGCUUUAUUACACUUGAGGUUAACUGAACUUGUUAGGAUAUUCUAAGAAAGUAAAAGUAUUUUUGUCUGUGGAUAGAGUCACUGCUGAUGAAGUAUCUUUUUGAUAGUGAGAAAUCUGCAGAAUCUAUCUUCUGUGCUCAAAGCCUUCUUCUUUUUAGCUCUGUGACCGGGGUACUUCUUUUUCUUCUAUUUCUUCUCAGUAGAGCUAAUAUCCUGAAGUUAAUGUUGUCUCUUUUUAGUAAUGAGCAAUAGAUGUUUAAGCGGUAGGCGCUACAGGAGGUAAUGAGGGGUCAGUGGGUAACAGGGUUUGGAUUAAGAUAGUUAUAAGUUCAAUCCCAUCAAGUCUCCUGUCUCUAAAAAAGAGACGGUACAUGUUUGGAGACCAAACACUCGUCAAGCAGACCGAAUUGAAGAUUAGAAACUUGCAUUUUAGUACAUCGGACAUUGCUAAUGCAAUAUAUAGGGUUUUAAUUAGGGCUGCCACUCGGUCGGUUCGAAUCGGUAAUAGGCGUUACCAACUUCAAAACCAAAGCUUUCGGUAAUGAAAUAUGACUUUCAAUUACCAAACCAAAAACUUCGGUAUGAGAUAAAUCUUACCAACUUCGGAUGUCGGUUUUUCGGUAUUACCAAACUUCACAACAAAUAUAUUUUCAAAAUAUAACAAAACAAUACAAAACUAUAAAAUUUAAAUAUCACUUGAGUUUCUAGAGUCUGAUAAUACAUAUACAAAAGAUAAUCAUUUCAGUACACAUUAUCGAGUAUGGUUUAAUUUUCUACCGAAAUAGUCAGGAUGUAAAUGUUUCCAAUUUUAUUAUGACAAGUUAUGUGUCAUCUAUGUGAAGUAUGUGUGUGGANNNNNNNNNNNNNNNNNNNNAAGUCACAUAAAGGCAGUAAAAGCUUUUUCGUGUAAUAAGUGACGUUAAAUUAUGGUUGACCGCUUUGAUCAAGACCCAAGCAUUAUUGAGUACAAUUGAAUUUUCUAUCAUAAUUGUAUUAUACUAUAAUGAUCACAUCAGACGGUCGAAUUUUAAUUUGUGAAUUGUAAUCAUUGGAGCCACAACAUGCCUGGUAAUGUGGUAUAACUUAUUUAGUAAGUUAUAUGCAUAUGUACAUCUUUGUGAACCAACUACAAAGAGGAAGCAAAAUUUUCAAAAACCUUGUGAACUAUGAUGUGAUCAAUAUAGUGAAAUAUGACUAUGGUAGAAAAAUUAGGUAUUUUUGAUAAUGUUUUGGCCUUGAUCAAGGCGGCUAACCCUAUUUACGCUUGUGCUUCCUAUGGGGAGCCCUAUCAUCAAGAGAGGUAAAAACAUUCCUAAAUUUUUACAUAGGCGGUUACAUGUCAUCUAAGUGGGUUUGUCUAUAUGUGUGUGUGUGAUGAAUCGACUAAGACGGGUAGGUAAGAGCGUUUUUAUAUAACAAGUAACAUUGAAUUAAAGUUGAUCGCUUUAAUUAAGACCCGAAUGCUACCAAGUAUAGUUGAAUUUUUCUAUUCAUUGUCUUGUUUUUUACUAAAUGGUAUAUACAAUUGAAAACGUGAGAUAAGAUUAUUAGUCUGUGUGUUUUUAGAAAUAUAAGUCUUUAAAUAAUUAGAAUUUCGGUAAAUUCGGUAUUUACCAAAAACCAAACCAACUUUUUCGAUAUUUCUCGGUUUCGGUUUUUUUGAUUUCGAUUACCAAAAUUCGGUUUACCAAAUCAUAAAUUUUUGGUUGGUUUUCGAUCGGUUUGGUAUUUACCAAACCAAGUGGCAGCCCUAGUUUUAAUGUAUUUAUCUAUAUUAUUGGCAGUCCUAACACUCCUUCACAAAAGCUGCAAAUUUAUUAUGUUACAAAAAUUGUUCACACGAUGAUCUUUGAAUGAUUUAUGGUUUCUUGUGAUCGAUACCAUAAUGUUAUCAUCAUGAAUUAUUAACAGUACAUUUUACUCCUGCAGACUGUCCAUUAAAUUUAAGUAGAUCAAAUGCUACUCUAGUUGCCUCUUUGUGCUCGAAUAGAGACGACAGAGGAAAAUGUUGCCGCUACGUAAAUGCUUUCAUUGCAAUAUCUAUUGCUCAGUAUGCAAAUGCAACAAGCAACUUAGGGGUACCUUCAAACUUAUCCAACACAUGCCUUGAUUUCAUAUCACAAACUUUAGAAUUGCAUGGAGUUCCCCAGAAUGCAACAGCUUUCUGUGGUUUGGGGACAAAAAUCCCAGUAAAUUAUGAGUGUAAGGGUCGAACAACUGUUACACAGAUGGUGCAGUCUCCAGAAUUCCCUGAUGUCAUGGAAAAUUGCAAAGUACCACUUUCAGGGGAAAGUAAUUGCAAGAAGUGUAUAAAUGCUGGUAUUGUAUAUCUUCAUCAUCUAUUAGGAACUGAAACUAAUAUAACAUUCAAUACCUGCCGUGAUGCAACUUUUGCUGCACUAGCAAGCCAAGUUGAUAUUGCUUCAGCUGUUGGCAUUGCAAGCUGUUUCUUUCAAGUCCAGGGGCUUAACAUCCUACCAGGUACUCACAAUUUUGGAAGAAAAUGAGAUUUAUGUUGUAUGUAACAGAGGACAUGAUCUGGUUUUAGUUUCAUACUAUUUUCCAAACUUCGUGGUGAUCUUUUUAUUUGAUAUAAUUAUUUACUUUCUAGUUUGAAUUCUGUUCUGAUCUAUUUAUUUCAGUAUUUAAAUCAUGUGUAUCAUGUUGUAGUAGUUCAUAACUCAGCAGGUAUUCAUGGUAGUUAUGUGAUACAACAUUUAAAACAAGUGGCUCACUUUUUCAUAUAUAUUAGUUUCCAAAGUUGAUACUAUUGUAAUUACGUAUUCUUUCUUGCAAUAGUUUCAGAGCCAUCGCCAUCAUCCACCCCAAUGGCAUCUCCAAGUCCAUUGGUAGCUGCUAGUCCAAACCAACAUUUGUUGGGCUUACCCUUUAGUGAAAAACAUCAUGCCUACCAUCUGACCCUGGUUCCAGUUAUCGGCAUUGCAGUAACAGUUGUUGCUGUAAUGAUGCUUUUGGUCUUGAUAGUUCUUAUUCGUAAGAAAAACAGAGAGCUAAUGGAUUUUGAAGAUAUAGAUAAGACAUCUAAAUCAUUUCCCCCACCUCGUCCUUUAAGGAAAUUUCAGGAAGGUACAGUUAUGUCUUUUUCCUGGUAGCUUGCCUUGUUGAUGUCUGGUAAAUGUAACUAAAUCAUUUCAUUGGGGGUGUCUUGGAUGCAACUCAUGUGCAGGUCCUCCAUCUAUGUUUCAAAAAUUCAGCUACAAGGAGAUAAAGAAGGCGACAGACAAUUUCAGUACUAACAUUGGACAAGGGGGAUUUGGAACUGUGUACAAAGCUCACUUUAGUGAUGGUUUAGUGGCAGCAGUGAAGCGGAUGAACAAAGUUUCUGAGCAGGGGGAGCAUGAGUUCUGCAGAGAGAUAGUGCUUCUUGCCAGAUUGCAUCAUCGUCAUCUUGUUUCUCUUAGGGGUUUCUGCAUUGAGAAACAUGAGAGGUACACAUUAUGUUUCUGAUCAGAAAAUGAAUUUGUGUAAGUUGUGGAUAUCAUGUACGUGGCCUAAUGCUUUUUCUGGAUGCUGUUCUUACUUCCAUGGCAGGUUUCUGAUGUAUGAGUACAUGGCAAAUGGUAGCUUGAAGGAUCAUCUUCAUUGUAUGUUUCUUUAUCUCUUCAAUCACUUGUGCUGAGAAUGGUGCAACUGUGAAACAGUUUUAUAGAAGACGAUGGUUUCAUGAUAUUUUUUACUGUAUUUGAAAUCAACCCUUAUAGUUGCAUUUGGUCUCCAACAUUGCUAAAAAUUUAUGACUGUUUAACAGCGUUUAGUUCCUAAAAUCUUGGUGACAUCACACUAGAUAUGGAGAUUCAUUUCUUUUCUUGAAUGAUAAAUACAUGCAUUCAAAUGCUAGGAAAGAUAGUAAUAUUAUCACUCUGUGAUUCAAUUUUGAAAGUAACAUUUCUUAAAGUCCCAUGUUUUCUGAUUAAGUUUACUCAUACAGCUCCCAAUAAAACUCCUCUAAGUUGGCGGACUAGAGUUCAAGUUGCCAUUGAUGUGGCUAAUGCUCUGGUAAUUUGCAGAAAUAUCUCAAUUUUCGACUGACUGCUCCAAUUAGAUUUGUCAUUUACUUCUUGCUAAAGCCUUAUAGAUAGCGCAUGAUAGUAAUUUUAGUUUCUAAUUGCCGUUUUGACAUACAGGAGUAUCUCCACUUCUAUUGUGAUCCUCCUCUCUGCCAUAGAGAUAUCAAGUCCAGCAAUAUCUUACUGGAUGAAAAUUUUGUGGCCAAGGUAAAUAGUGGCUGUAUGCACAAUUACCACUGCAAUUCAAGAUGGACGGACACAUUGAUAAGCGUGUUCUUUCUGGAAUGAUUGAAUGGCAAGAACCCCUUUAAAUGAUUUGAACUAAAUUUAUUAAUUCUUUCAGGUUGCAGAUUUUGGCCUUGUCCAUGCAUCAAAAGAUGGUUCAAUUUGCUUUGAACCGGUGAAUACUGAUAUCCGGGGAACUCCAGGUUAGAGAAAAUUCUAUUUAUUAGACUGAAACAUUAACUUAAUAUUUGGUGCUUAAGAUCUUCAGGUUAUAUGUUGGAUAUCUUCAGGUUAUAUGGAUCCGGAGUAUGUCGUUACUCAGGAGUUAACAGAGAAAAGUGAUGUAUACAGCUAUGGUGUCCUAGUGUUGGAGAUAGUGACUGGGAGACGAGCAAUACAAGACAACAGGAAUUUGGUUGAAUGGUCUCAAAAAUACAUGGAAUCGGAAUCAAGACUACCAGAUUUACUCGAUCCCCGUAUAAAGGACUCAUAUAACUUGGAUCAGCUUCAAACACUCAUGUCUGUUGUCAGUUGGUGCACCCAGAGGGAAGGCCAGGACAGGCCUUCAAUCAAACAGGUGCUUAGGCUUUUGUACGAGAGUUCGGACCCAAUGCAUAGUGGAUUUAUUGCAUCUGUAAACGAUGAAGACUAUGAAGAGACAGAAGGAAGAGGAAGGAACAGUAAAGGGAAGAUGCAUAGGAAUGACAUGAUCUGUCACAGUGGGGAUGGGAGAUAUCUGGCUUCUUCUUCAAGUACAUCCAGGUCAUAUUGUAGCAGAAGCUUUUUGCUUGAAACUGGGUCUCCACAGUCCCCUCCUAAUAUUUUGUCUGUUUGAUGCAUGCCUUCAUUUGCUGUAGUCACCGAAAAGGGGGUAGCACAAGUGCAUGCAUAUUUGAAAUCACUAUAUUAGAUUGCCUUUUUCUACAUUUGCUUCACCCUAACCUUUUCAGAAGCACAUCAAACAACUUCCAGAGGAUAGUAUAAGAACCCGUUCUCUUUUUGGUGUUUUUGGGGAAGUUAAUUCAUGUUUGCUUUUAUUGGUUCUGGAGUUGCACAAUUUUGUAACCAGCAUCAUUUAGAAGGAAACCAAUUUACAGAAGUUGUCUUAGAUGUAUAUGCUUCCAUAAUCCAUAUAAUUCGAGGGUUUUUUUUUUAAUUUUUUAUUUUUAUUUUUUAUUUUUUAUGCUACAGGCAUUGAUCUCACAAUCCAAACGUUAAUACUACGUACAUGUCAACGUCCUAGCUAAGCUGGACUGCACAAACUAAGCAAUGCAGACCCCUUAAUUAGAGUGCAUGCAGAGUUUUAAAUAUAUAUUUUUAAUCUCUUAAUAGUUAAUACACACAUUUUACUUAAUACAUUACUUAUUUAGUUUUUUAUAUUAAUAUUAUAUUAAAUACACAUCUUAACCUGCCUAAAUUACCAUUAAUAUCUAAAACUAAUAAUAAUCUGUUAUUUAAUAUAAUUAUUAUAUGUUUACUAUUUCACACCACUCUUUACGUAUUCUUUUUAUUUUCUGUUAAAUUUUUUUGAUCGGGUUAGAAAUUUUUUCUUGAUAUUUUUCAAUUUAUAAUCAAAAGAGUAAUAUUAUAUUCGAACUCUAAAUCUCCAAUAUGACAUCAAUCGGUUAGAAUUUGAAGAAAAAAAAUAUUGAACAUACAUAAUUUUUUUUAAGUUAAGAAACUAGUAAAAGUAAUAAAUAGCAUAAAAACUAGUUUUUAGUCUGCAAGAUAAAAACUAAAGUUAAUAAAAAAAAAAACCAAAUGAAUCGGUAAAUAGUACAUGUGAUUAUAACAGUAGUUGAAAUUCACAUAAUGAAUUUUAGAGAAAAGUUUUUAUUUCUUUUCUUUUAAUGUGUAGUAAUAGUGGAGAAGAGUUAGAUUUUAGAGAAGAAGAAGUUUUUGUUUUUUUCUUUUUUUUCCCUAAUAAUUUAUGGAUGUUUUUGUAAUUAAACAUAACUAUAAAAUCUGAUGUGAAAUAUAAAAUAAUAAGGGUAUGUAUUAAGAGAUUAGAGGUGUGUAUUUAAAAUUUCUCAUUUUGAGAACAAACGUUUGCAAAAACAACAAUCCAUUAUUUCAUUUCAUUAUAGGGAAAUAGAAGUAAAAGGAUAUGUUAGACCCAACUGAGAUCGAAACACCCAUGUGAUUAGCAUGGUUUUAUUACCUUUCAAGUUCCAACUACCACAAGACCAAAUACAUGAUUAAACCCUCUCACACCAGCUAGCUGCAUUGCCUGCAUAUAUAUGAACACACCGAUCUCUCUUUUCCUCUCACAGCUUUUAGCUCUCUGCAGAAAACUAUUCUCACUGCACCUACCAGCUGAUACUCUCAGGCCUCUUUUCUUCACAUUUUGAAUCAGUGUGUGUACCCAAUUUUGGUAAAUCGGCCCUUAAAAUAUUGGCCGAUUGAUAAGGAAAAUUUGAUGCUUUAUUAGCAAUAUCUCAAUAUAAUUUUAUUAUGAAAUUCUAUUAGAUAUUAACAUUCGGGGAAGAAAUUAAAAGAGAAGGCAAUAACGACGAUUUCUCAAAAUUGACGAUAUAUAUAAAAGGGAAGAAAAUAACGGCGAUUUAUCAUAAUUACCGAAUAUAUAAUCGAGGAAGGAAAUAAUCGAGAUGUAAUUGUGUUUGAAGGCAUUGAUGACAAUAUUUCAUGAUCAAGAGACAAUCCAUUCUAACAGUGCCUCAAAAAGAAAGUAUAUAUGGUGCAAUUAAGGAAUGAGCAAUAUGGAGCAUAAUCUUGAUUCCGGUCAUUAAGACCGAAAUUCAAAUAUAUAAGUGUAUUCUCUUUCCUUUACUGUGUCAUUUGUGUGUUUGUAAUUGUAUAUAUUCGACCCUCAACCUUAUUGUAAAAGGUUCUUGACCAACACAACUCAACACAAUACAAAUUCAUACAAACACCAAAUUCUCUACAAUAUCAAUCUUUUCAUUCUUGCUCUAGCGUAGUUAUAUUUUUAUUGCUUUCAUUACCUUCUGCACUUUAUCGCUUUCUUUACUUUCUGCAAUUUAUUUUUAUGCAACUUAUUCUUUUGCGUCUUUAAAUUUCAUGCAAUUUAAUUUCUCUCGUUUACUUUAGUUUCUGUUCUUUAAGUUUUAUGCAAUUUAGAUUUGGUUCUUUUAAUUACAUUUCGCACUUUAUUUCUCGUAAACUUAUAACAAAAAUCACAAAAAAAAAAAGCAACAUCAGUGAAAACACCGAAAGUCUUUGCAACAAAGGCAAGGGAACUCAACGGCCGAGACGUUCAUUCCUUGGCCUACAAUCACUUAAAAAAAGUCAGAUCAGGCAAAAAAUAUUUAUCAAAAACCUCGCUUGGCCACGAGGCCGCAAAUUGGCACGCCCGCGCAAUUCAGAAGGAAGAUUGUUCUCAAGACAAUUUUUGAGCAAACAAUCAGUAAGUACUUUAACACAGCCGUUAUAUAUCUUUGGUAUUUUCAUGCUAACUAAACUAAAAUUAUAUGAUGCAAUUAUGUAUCUACACUUUUAUUUAAUUUCCAUGCCAAUCUGUGAGCACAAUAAUCGUAGCGCGCUGUUUACAACUUCGAUCUUUUGCCGGAAAAUUCUCUUUUUAAGUUGCUGAGUGUAAUUUUAAGCUAGCUAGUCAUAUCAGAAGGUUAAAUUAUUAGAGUGAUUACAUAACCGAAAUCUUCAUGCCAAGUACGUUUCUGCAAAUCAAUAUAUGAAGAUCAGCAUCUCAAACAAGUACCUUAUUUCUAGUUCUAAGUAGCUAGCUAACUGAACACCAACUGAGACUAAGACUACAAUUAUGUUAGCAUAUAUAAUAUCUCUUGUAACGAGAAGAUUUUGUUCCUUAAAAACUAUGAUUCAUAGGUUCACAUGCAAGGUGUAAGACAGUAGGAGUAAUAAUAAUUAGUUGGAGGGACAAAAGUACUCUUCCAUUUCGAGUUGUAAGCCUAGGUACAUAUUAGGUUGGACAAUCCCUAACUGAAUCCUUGUUUUCACAAUAGUUUUUACUUCUCAGGCAAUAUUUGGCUUUACAUUUCCAAAUUUGUUUUGCUGUUCAAUCAACAUUCGUAAUUGAUUUGUGCUAAUUGCCCUCUUUUAUAUAUUUCAGUCCUGAAACUUUGUUAAGGAUGCUUGCGAAAGUUGUGUUCGUGUUGUUCUUGAUCAUUACCUCAGCAGCUGCCAAAGGUGGUGGUGGUGGUGGUAGAGGAAGUGGAGGUGGCUCUCGAGGAAACAGAGGUGAAGGCGGCUCUCGAGAAGGCAGAGGUGGAGGUGUCUUUAUAUUUGGAGGACACCCACACAGAGAUGGAAACAAGAGCAGCUCAUCCAAUCUCAUGAUGUCUACAUCUACUCUAACUUUAACUGUGCUUGGUUACAUGACCUUGCAUUACAUAUGCUGAUCACAGCCCCUUGAUUUCCAUGGGAGCCUAGCUUGCUAGCUAAUAGGACUCAACCAAUCAAUUAAUGCCUACUUAAACUCUUAACCAAGUUGACGUCUGCAAGAUAUUUGAGAAUAGCUUAUGGUAUUAUGCAUUUUAAUUAAGCAUUUGAGACUAUAUUUGUGAUCGAUUCUAUUUAUAUAUGCGUUGGGUGUUUUCUUAGCUGGUAUUAUUAUUUCUUGAUGAUCUUCCUUUUUGUAUUCAAGUGUUUCUUGAAUAUAUUUGAUGUUUCCUCAGUUGAGAAUUGAGAUUAGUGUGUCCUAGUACGUACAAGUCGAUUAAUUAAGAUCUACUCCAGCCAAAGCAUAUAACAUGUUAUUACAAAUAUACUCAAUGUCAUGUUGAGGAAAUGGGCGCCUGGGCGGGGUCAGUAACUAUUCUGUUCAUAGUAAAAUUAAUCAGGUCAACCUACUUUCAAAGUUAUGCAUACAGCAUACUAAAUGUAGAAAGGGAAAAGUAAUGCAGUUACUGAUUCUUUUGAAUAAGAAACAAAGUUAGCUAGAUCGAUCGAUAUCGAUAUUUCCUUAAAAUGGAAAAGGUACCGAUCGCGAGCAAUAGGUAGUAGCAAAGUACAGAACUGUGAUUAUGAUAUGCGCGCAUACAUAAAUGUUUGUAUCUUGUAGGUGUAACACAGCUCAAAGCCCGAAAAUUCUUUUAUGAACCAAGAUGCAAGUGAACUGAGUAACUAAUAUGCAGUAUUUUGAUCCGGUCAUCUACGUCUCACUACAUGCAUAUAUAGUUAUGUACUAAUACCGUUACCAAUAUUAAAAGCUAAAAAAAUAGUCUCAAGUUUUUCCAACUAAGGAGGUGAGAACAUUAGGUCGAAGAAGAUAUACUAUAAUUAUGGGCGUUUAAUUUGAUCAAAUCAAAAAUGAAAUUUGAAAUGAAGGAAUUUAGGGUCUCUAAUCUUCGUUUGAUCUUCCCAUACGGCGAUUUGAGCACUUACACAUUAAUGAUGCCUGUUCACCUUGGUGCGUAGAAUCCGCUCCCAAAACAGUUCACUGUAAUAUUCGGAUUAACCCAUUUAAAUGCGAAUCUGAUUUGCAAAAUAGCCGAACCGAAAACUAAAUGCACCAAAUUGCAAGAAAUCAAACAGAAAUAUUUAUCAUACUAAAUGUAAGAGACUGCUCUGACGAGUAACUAAAGUUAAAUCAAAAUAAUUGAACAAUAAUCAAAGCUAUUAACUGAUCGAAAUAAAUUACCGCGGUUUUACAUUUCUUUGAUCUCUGCAGAAGGUGCUAUCCAAGUCAAUGAGUCCAUCAACUCAGAAUUUCCUGCCCAUAUUGGAGACAUGAUGAUAAUCUUUAAAUGCUUCAGGUUUGGCAAUGGUGGAGAGACAGUAUUCCUAAAAUCUUCUGGAAAGAUGAGAGCCUGAGCUUGAACAUGAUCAAUAUUUAGAACUAUUUCUCCGGAGAAGGAAGCAAAGCUUUCAAGAAAAUAUCUCAGCAAAGAAGAAUGUUCCCAUGGCUCGUUGACGUUCAGCUCUUCGUGACGAAUAGUAAUUUUUACCCUAGCCAAACUUUGAGCUUCUAUGGAAUGCUUGUACUUCGAAAAACCAGUAAACUGAAUAUAAUGUAGACUGGGGCUACUGACUGUGGCCUUCACAGAAUGUCCACAUGUAGUAAUAUAAAGGUACUGCGGGUGUUGUGCAAGGAUGCUUAAAGAUUUCAAGUUUCUACACUCGGAUAAACUGAUGAGCCUAACGUAAGAUUCCGAAACAAAGGUAAAAGAUUCUAGCAGAUUAGUUUUCACUACUGCAACAUGUUGGAAAUCACAGUACGUAACUUUCAAGGAUUUGAGAUUGGAAUUGGAAACUAAGAAUGGUGCCGAACCAUCACGCAUCGAACAAGAAGAGAGUGACAAAUACUCGAUGGAAGGGCAGCUAGAUAUCAAGGAGCAACCGAGGCGCAUAGUUUUGAGCGACAUUGUUAUCAAAGACGGGAAGAUUAUAGACUUGCAUUCUUCUGCAUCUAUCGUCACAUUCUCCAAACUUAAGGUAGUUAUAGAUUUCGCCAAACUUAGGGGGUUCUUCAGGGUUAAACAGUACAAUGCUGCCUGUUUAUCACCUCCAAUGCUCAUGUCCAACUCUUUGACGCUUCUUCGAACUGCAAGACUCAAUACCUCAUCUACCAUAGUAGUCACUAUCUGAGAAGUUAGUCAUUCGAACCCUGAAUUUAUCUAAGAGUUGCUGCUUGACCUUCUCAUCUUCAUGGAAGUAGUCCAAAUACUUAUCCAAGAUGUUGACGAACUUUGUGUGCUGAAUGAUGUUGUCUGUUGUGUCAUCGUGGGGGUUGCCUUCGUCGAAGUCUAAUACAGGUUGGGAGAGCCAUGCACCUUCAAAUUUCUUAGAAAGAGAGCUCAUACGGACAGCAGAUUUGGUAGGAAGGACUUGAAUGAUUCGGUAGAUAAUCUCAUCUGGAAACUGAGGCCGGCUUAAUAUUGUUUCCACAACCGUGGCCUUUUGGUCAUCAUGAUCUUCCUUUGUCUGGUUUUGCCAUGUUAGGUUUCUGUCCGAACUGGGGUCCUUUGUGGUAGCCAUAACUGACGCAGAGACCUUUGAAGAAUGAAGACUGGUCAUUAAGGGAUGGGAAAUCAAACUUAUAGAUGCUGAAUUGCAAUUGCAUAUGCUAGCUCCAAUCUUUAUAGGACAUGAAAACCGCUUUGAGUUCAUGUUAUAAACCGUUUCCUUGUCCUAUUAAGGAUUUGAGCUAGCAUAAGCUUUUUAGCUGCCUUGAGUUUGAUGAUCAGCUAUUAUCUUCUUUGAUCAACAGAUUUAGAAUGAGAAGUAUCAUACAAGUGUUUAGGCGUGUUAUGUGGAAUCAUAGAUACAGCAUUUGUUGGAGCGCAGCAGACUAUAUGCAAGUUAAUUUCGAUCUGUUUACUACUAUCAUCAGUAAAUCACACAGAAAAGUAACAUAUAAGUAAAUUUACACUUAGAUCUCCCAUUAGCAGUUGAUCAAUUACAAAUAACUGGGUAUGAGUUGUGCAUAGACCAAUAAUAAGCAUCAAAUCUAUGCAGAACGCAUUGAACAUAAAAAAACGUAUCCCAGCUCUACUGUCAUCUUUUUUUUUUUCUCUCUCUUUCUUCAUGACUUCUAAUAAAAAGUGAAAAAGACCAGGGAGAAAAACCAGGCUGCAUAAGCAUACAGCAAUCCUCCAGCGCACACAUAAGUUGAAAACAUCACACCAUUGCUAAAACAACAGCACCUCAAUAAUUUCAGCCACCACUUGCAGCCAGGAACUUUUGCUUGCUAACAGGUUCUUCAAGCAACACCACCACAUCAGUCAGCCUCUCAAACAGCUCCUCUAGUUGAUCAACACCAAACUUUUGACAGUCCAAUGGUUUUUUGUACCUUUGCUGGUAGAUCGCCUCAAAACAACCCAAAAAAAUCCCACAAGAGUAGCUAACAAGAAUCUCCUGCAACUCAUAUUUGAAGUGCUCAAGGUCAUGGUCAUCAAUUUCACAUUUACCUGUUGUUCUCAAAUUGGUCUGUCCUUGACUCCUGUCAUCAUGUUCUUCUAAAACUACUCUUUCCUCCUCUGAGAACUCUUCUGAUGAGCCAUUACCUGUAAUAAUAGCCAUACUCUCUUCCUGAGUCCCCUUCCCUUUCCUACUAUUAUCCUUCCCAGUUGAAAUCAAAGGGCUUGGUUUCCAGUUUCGGAGGUAGACAAAUUUCUUUUGCCCUUUACCAUCUACAACUAUUGUGUCACCCAACUUCUUAAACAGAUUAACAAGCUUAAAUGCACCAUACUCCGAUACAUAAAGAGGUCUUCCAAAAACUUUCAGAUACUCGGAAGGAACUCGAGUAAGAGGCAUGCAACCUCCAGAAAGUUCAAGCAACUUCUCAAGCUGUCCCCUAAGACCAUUAAGGUCCCCUGGUUGAACCCACCAAGCAGAUCCAUUUUGAUCGGCAGAACUACUAGGUCCAGCAGGAACUUCAUUAAGACCUGAUGGGAGACUGUGUGAUCUCGACGCGCCGCCAGGCAUCAAUAAGGAACUACUGUUAUAUUCAGACAUAGAUUGUGACACUAUUGAAAAAUCUCUUGAAUUGUAAUAGCUUUGUGAGAUCCCCCUGUAUAAAAUAGCUUCAUCCUCAGUUUGGCUAUCCAUAUGAUCAUUAAUAUGGCAACCCAUGAAAUAGCCAGUAAUAUCAGCUUGUCCCCCACGAGGAUGCAUUAGAAACUUAGUUGUAGGCACAAAGCCUUCCCCACGAGCUACGCUAGACCAGUCCCACACAAACUUACCAGCAUUGCUGAGAGCAGAUGAAACGCCCACUCCAGAAGGUAUUACUAGAAUCACUGUGUACCCACGUUGCCCAAGUAUAUGGAGUGCUGGAGCAAAAUCAACAUCCCCAGAGAUCAGCAUGAUGGAAGAUGGUGGAGGAUUGUCAAGAGCAAACAGGAACAUAUCAACCAAGAUGGCCUUGUCAGCAGCAUCCUUUCUUCCAUUUGGUACAUCAACGAGUUUAACACCAGUUCUCUGACAUCCCUCGCGGAGCCGCCUGGGGAAGGCAUUGAAGUCCCCAUAUGCAGCAAACGUAACAACAGCUCCUUUAAUUACAGGAUGUACUUGCAAAGCCAUUCUGAUGUUACCAGCUACAUCUUCAGGACGAACAUCACUUGGCACAGGGCAGUUUUCAAUAUCCCAGAGGAUAGCAACAGGACCUUCAGCGGAGCUUCGGAUUGGCUGGUUCAUUGGAGCUUGAAGUGCGUUCAUGUUUGCAUCUAGCAUGUAAGAACCUCUUUGAUCGGAGGGGUCUGAAGGCACAAUUGAUGUUGAUGUAUUUUGGCAAGCCAUCAAAGCUCAAAACUCAAGUCUACCUGCUUAUGCAAAUAAAAGAAAAAAAUAAGGUAAACAAAUUAUAAACAACAAGCUAAAAAGCAAAAGUUGAAUCCAGCCAUAUAUAUAAACAUAAAUUUUAAGUAGAGGUAUACAAAGGUAAACCAGGCACACAACAAAAUUGUAUCUUAUCUUAUAAUCUUACGAAAAAGAAAAAGGAAGCAGUUCUUCACUCUAGAAUCCCGUUCCUCUUACUCACCAAUCAUGCUCAUUCUCAAUCAAACAUCUCUCCCAAAAUAUCUCUCCUCUUUCACUUAUGGUCACUUUUUUUCAGCUCCCUGUAUCUCAAUCCUGAAUCUCUCUCUCUAUUAUUGGCCUCAGGGCCCAAGCAUGUCCCUUGCUGUGAAUUUUUUUUGGUCCUCUUACCCUUCCUAUUCCUUUCUUGAGUUUAUUAAAUUUCUCCUUAGUAAUGUUGAAAUUCAUUGUGAAUCAGAGGAAACAUUACAACUAAGUGAACAAGGCAUCCACUUAGAAGAACAACUAACUAAAGCAAUAGAAACACAAAGCUGAGGACCAAAUAAAUAAAUGCUGAAAUCCAAUCUAAGUGAAUUUCAAAUGAACCAUUCCCGGAAACCAAUGCGAACUCCAUCCUACAAUCUGCCAAAGUCUUCCCACUCACAUUCUUAAUCAUUAUUUCAUUCCUCUUUCAUCUAGAUGACCCUCAGACAGUCAUUAGAGCGCAGAACCUUUCACGCUGGAAUCAUGCAAUUUGGAAUGACCCAGCUCCCAUUGCAUUACCUAAACACCCUUUUUUGUAUAGCUAAAGAGAUCAGACAGAUAUUCCCCUAAGGUAGCUGCUUUUCGCUCAAAUUCAAUGUUGUUUCGAUGCAUCAAGCUUGCAAUAAGUGAUGUGAAAUAUUGAUCAUAGCUCAGCGCAGCAACCCAACACAAUAACAGUCAAUAUAUACUCUCAAAAACCAUGCAAUAGGACAUUCUAUUCUGAAAAAUUAUUGCUUUGGGAUCAAAUUGAUUGUAAUCAAUAACUUCGAACAAUCAUCCAAUCCAGCACAGAAAAGCAGCACUGUGACAACUACCAAAACCUAACACGACCCUAAAAUCAACCCCAAUUUGAUAAUCCGAUCAAAUCACAAAUUCAACGAAAGAAUAAAACUUUAGAGCAAUAAGAAGAGACGGAGAAAAGGGUGUACCUCAUAAUUGUCUCCAAAGUUGGAUACUUUCCGUAAAAGCCAAGCAACUCCGACGAAGGAAUUAGGAUAAUUAACGAAGAGGAAUCGAAAUCUGGAAUUGAAUGAAAACCCAGAAGAGAAGCGAAGGCUUUUGUUGAAUGGGAUUUGGGGAUUUAUGAGAGAUUUUAAGUUUUGGGAGAGGAAAAGCGGCGAGAGAGGAUUAUUACAGAUUGAGUUUGAUUUGGAGUAGGAGACUUGACUGAAACUUGGGCCACCUAAUUUUUGAUUUUGAGAGCAGAAAUGUGGAUUUGGGCUUUUUAAAUAUGAAGCCCAUAACGGGUGUGCGUUGGCGUAGGCGGCCCGAUUGAUCCCAAUCUGGGUCGGGUCUUCUUGCCUCGUUUUGUUGCCAAUCGUGGAGGGUGGUGCGUGGGCCGUGGAGGGUGGUGCCUCCUUUGUGUUAGACGAGGACGACUAUGCGCUUCGGAUUGUGGUUGGAGCUGGCAUGGCGGCGAGUCUGCGACUAGGAUAGUAGCUCUUUAGGUGGGCUGCCUCUUGAAGUCCAAUAGAUGUGGGUUGGGCCUAGGUCUAGCUUUCCUUUUAUUUUUGUUUUUCUUGUUAUUUUGUUUGGUUCUGUUGGUUUUAGUUGUCCUUCUUUUUUGAGCGAGGGUUUAGGGUUUUGAUAGGAUGGUGUUGUUGGUCGAGUCGUUGGGUGUGUCAUGGUUAUGGUGACGUUUUUAGAGACUAUUGAUUUUAUGUCGGGUAUUUCUUGUUGUGAAUGUAAUAGAGAGGUUGCCUUUAUAUAUAUGCUGGCACUUUUGGUGUAUAUUGUUGGAAUAGCCUGUUUGUUUUUAAGAUUGAUUGUUAGGAUGUAUCAAGGCUUCUAGAAUAGGUUAGGUUAUUACAGCUGAAUCCUAGCGAUUCUUGUCUACUGUAGUCACUGGUGUUUUAGGUAGGAAAGAGAGUGGGGAAUUUAUGUCCCCUACCGACAACUCCUUGUCUAUACUUUUGGAAUAUAUUAUAUAAGGUGCUACCUUUAUCAAGAAAAAGAAAAGGAUAUGAAGCUGAUAUUUUUGAUGAAUAUAAGGCAUCCUUCUGUAUCUUAUGCAUUUCAAAAGGCAUUUUACACGGAAAAGAAAUGUGUUGGAACGGAAAAGAUCAUGUUACAAAAAUAAAAAUAAAAGAGAGAGCUCUGCAGAAAAACCCUAGAAGAACUCCCCACAAUGUAUCAUGUCAUGUCUGGCUGCAACGCAUCUUUAUUAAGAUAUGUAAUUUUGUUCUAUUGUAGGAUGGUGUUGUUGGUCGAGUCGUUGGGUGUGUCAUGGUUAUGGUGACGUUUCUAGAGACUAUUGAUUUUAUGUCGGGUAUUUCUUGUUGUGAAUGUAAUAAGAAGGUUACAUUUACGUAUAUGCUGACACUUUUGGUGUAUAUUGUUGGAAUGUACAUGCCAUGUCCGGCUGCAACGCAUCUUUACAAAGAUAUGUAAUCUUGUUACAUGUCUAUUGAUCUUUCCAUUUUAUCUAUGAUGUGACAAAACAAAUAGAGUGUCUUUAGAAUAAUACUCUUUGCUAGUUUGUGCUUGUAUGAAUACAUAUACUCCCUCUUCUUCUCUUUUCCUUCACAAUGCAACAUAAUGUCAGGGCAUGAGCGAUACCCAAAAUGGGACUUCUAGAUGUUCGGGCUCCAUGGAAAUCUGCGCAACAUAAUGCAGCCACACCUUCGCAAAAAGAAAUUGUUCUGUUUCUUAUAAAUAGACUGGGGGAGUUGGGGAAUAUGCGUCACGAGACUUGUCGCAAGUACAUCGAUCAACAUUAACACAUUUAGAGCAUUUGCUAAAGCAUAUUUCAAGUAACAUGUAACUUUGUAACUCUAAUUGAACAAACAAUGCUCUUGAGUUGUCAUGAGCAACUUCUUUCUGAUGCUAGCAUGGUGUAAACAGGAGAUACAACUGACAAGAUGGAAUAAAAUCUGUGAUGGGAUAUUUGGAAUUGCUCCAGCAUCCAGGAGCCCAAUGCAGUGAAAAAGAAAUACAAAAUUCUGCAAAAUUGGAUGAGAAAAAGAAACAAAUAACCAUGUUUCAUUCCAAUGAAUCAUUAACUUUGCAUCACAAUCACAAAUUAAACUGGGGAUGAACAAUCAGCAGUAGUGCAAGACAUUUCCGCCUAUGCCUCAACCGAGAAUAUGACAAUGCCAAAGAAGAGGAGCAGAAACUGGUAAUGCCGUAACUAAGACCUAUGCAGGUAAUGAAGUAGGCAUAUGUCUACGAUUUAUAUGUACAACCUGUAUAAACCCUUUUAAGAUUCAGGGGAUAGGAAAUCUUACAAGUAUCAUAUCGGGGUAAAAUCAACUAAUACUGUUGUUAACUCCUUUUGGCACAAAUCAGAAAAUGGUUAUGACUUCAGAACCCUCUCAAUGGCAGCAACAUAGAACUCCUUUGGCAUGGUGCCAACCACAGUGUCACAUUUCUUCCCAUUCUUAAACAACAAAACGACCGGUACAGCCUUAAUAUCAUAGUCCUCGGCAAUCUGCAAAUCAACAUCCGCGUUGAGCACAAAGCAGUUGAGCUUGCCGGCAUACUCAACCGCAAUUUCAUCAAUCACGCGGUGGACCAUCCUACACGGCCCGCACCAGCUUGCAUAAAACUCGACUAGCACAGGAGUCUCACUGUUAAUAACUGAUUUCUCCCACGAGUCCCCGGUAACCGCCGGAGCUGCAUAGGCACAACAGAAUACGGUUAACAGGGCCACUUGCCGGUCAACAUUUCGAAGAGUCAUUAUAUCGUAGACCUUGAAAUUCAUGAGAUCAUUAAGAUUUCUGAUAUAAGCAAGCAACUAAUCUCUUCAACAUAAACAAAAACCUCGCGGAUCAAUCUGAUAAUAAUAAUAUUAGAUUUAGAGUAGUGUAUCUUUAAAUCUAUAUCUAUGCUUAUAAUCUUAAUAUAAUCAAUCUGAUAAUCAUAGCUUGUGAUGAAUCAAUUGAGCAAACCAAUGCGAAAUCAAAAGAGAAGCGAGAAGCGAUUUGAAGGAGAUUAGAUCUAUGAGAGUGUACCUUUGGAUUCGCGGACGGAGAAGAUCUUGAGGGAGCGAGGCGGGGGAUUUGGGAGCUUGACGGAGGAGAGUUUGGGGUGGAAUCGGAGCGGGAAAGAGAGGGAGGGAGUGGGCGUGGGGUUCAGGCGAGAGUGGGAGGAGGAGAGGAAGACGGCGCGUGAGGAGCGUAGAGGAAAUGUGGAGGAGGAGGCAGCCAUGGAUGGAAGGGAAGCUGAGCUCAGAGAGAGCAUGUGAAAAAUGAUGAGAGUUUUGGGGAUGAUUGAAUGAUGAAAGUGAUGGGUGGAGAAGAGGACGAGUGUGAUUGGUUUUGGAUUUUGUUGGAAAAAGAAGAGAAACGGUGGCAAAAAGAG
rnacentral:lncRNA from 1 species